rnacentral:lncRNA from 1 species
ACGGUGAAGGUGUCAUCAUCACAUGAUUCGUUUGUUUCUUUUGGGUUUGUUUUUUUAUUUUCCUUUAGGGCAAGAAAUGUAGUGAAGAGGCUAAUUGAGAUUUUAAUGGAGGAUGGGCUCAGUAACAUUAAUGGGCUUAGUUUUGUGAAGCCCAGCAUGUAGGAGAGGUUUGUGAUCACUUCCUACUUCUACGUUUGAUUCCCAUCUAGCUGAAGUAGGACGAAUGUAGUCGUUGUGCUGAGAUGAAGUAUAGUAAAAGAAUUUCUCUCAAAUAAUUUCACUAAUAAGAGCGAAGUUUUACAAAAUAAUGUUCUGACGGAAUCAAACCCGAUCGGUCAUCGGUCUUGCGGAUUUUUAAAAUUUCACAACAACUUUCCUAAUGGUCGUAAUGAAACAUGGGUUUUAUGUGACUAGCUGCUGAUAAUCGCAUAGGAGUGACAUGAAUCAGUUAAUUUGGUUCGGGUAUGGUCGAGACACAACAAAUUAUUGAGGGUAGAGAAAAGGAUUGAAAGCAUCAAAGCAAAAGAGUAGUAGACAUGUAAGCCAAGACAAGAUCCAAUUUUGGAGUUAACUGAAGUAUGAAUACUGCAAAACGUGAAGUGGUCCUCUUGCUUUAUUCUACGUAUGUAUGUUUAUUCCUUUUGUAUGAAUUUUUCACUUCAAUGGAAUUUUCAUCAACCAUGCAUAUAUUUCUUAAAUGAAACGUCUAAAAAGUCAUCAAAUCCAUAUUUUUAGGCUCCUUAUAUUCCAUCUGCAAAAUAAGAAGAAAUAUACUACAGAAAUUGUUCAAACAACUGUACAACUUUUGACAUUUAUGAGUUUGACCAUUUAUCUAAAAUUUUGGUAUGCUCUUAUGAUUCAUGUUUGAAAAGAGAAAAAAUAUAUCCAUGUGGUCAUUAAUGUAUACAUUCCAUAAUGAAAUCAUGAUGUUUGUUGACAGUAACAUAUUGUUAGUGGUCUUUGAGCUAGUGCCUAGUGCAACCUGCCAUGACUCACUUUCUCUUACAAAAAAUUCUGACAUUCUUCCACAAAACAUAAAAGUCCAAUAAAAUUCCACUUUUGGAUUAAUCUGAAGGAGUUUUCAGUUGUAAUUUUUUUUUUCAUAGAAAACCAAAAGUGCUGUAGAGAUAGUGACAUCCACUUGAAUAUUCCUUUUUUUUUUACAUUCGUUAAUAUAUAUAGUCCUUUUUUCAGAUAUAAAACAUCAUUAUUAAUAUCUAAUUAAGAUUGACGAAAAAUGAAGUUCUCUUUAGAUCAAAUCAAUAGACGAAACACAAUUGAGCAACUUGAAGAUUAUUGCCCAUUCCUCCACUUGCUUUUUUACCAUUUAAAUUCAGAACUGCUAGAAAAUAAACAAUCAGCCUCCAUGCAAAACAGUAUUAUAUAAGAAAGUUGCGCACUUAUUUUCUCUUCACAUUUCUUUACACUCUAAAAGCAAAUUCUAAAACUCCACUUUUACUUUCUCUUCUUCUAGCUAGGAAACUAGUGGAUCAAGUUCCAUACCGUAAUCCAAUUCUUUAUAUACACACACACACACACACACACACAGACUCAUAAACUUUAACACUUAUAUUUAUGAAAAUAAACUCAUGAAUUGAUUAUCAUCAAUUCUAAACUAUGUAUUUGUUGUUUCCACUUCAAACCACAUGAAGUCAUGGAGAUUCACCAUCACCUCUUCGUCUUUCUCCUCCUCCUCCUUCUUCCCCUAUGCACCUCCCAAGAAAAUACCAGAAGCUUGGCCAUUGAUGUCAAUGGUCAAGUCGAAACAAGUCUUAUCUCCGAGGUUAGUAUGCUCUUUUCUCUCUCGCUCAUCCUAAUUAAUUAAAAUGUAAUAAUAUCAAACUCUUCAUAAUCUCAUUGCUUUAGCUUAUAAUUCUAUACAAUGAAGCUCCUUUGUUACUGAACUUAUGAACCUAAUGAGUUUAAUUAUUAUAUUCAUCAUCUCAUGAUUAGCAUAUAUGUAUGUCUAUGUAUAUAUAGACAUUUUUACAUGAAACCAUGAAGAACCCUUGAAUUUUCUGAAUAUAUUAUUCCUUACAUGAUGAUUAAAGGAUAUAGAUUUUUUUCUAUAAAAUGUGUGCUUGUUAAUUACUUUUUCAAAACUCUUAAUUGGUAUGAAACUCUUAUUUUUGGUUUUAUUGAACAGAAACUAAAUCCAAAGCUUGUGUACGAAAUCAAAGUGCAUGGAUUUAUGCUUUGGGCAUCGAUGGGUGUUUUACUGCCAAUUGGUAUAAUCUCCAUCAGAUUAAUAUCUAUCAAAGACCAACCUAUAAUCACUCUUCGACGACUGUUCUUUCUUCAUGUCAUUUCUCAGGCAGGUUUCACUUCUUUUUUUGGCUCUCUUAUUCUAUUUUAUUUUUUGAGAUAUCAAAGAUUAAUCAGAUUCAACGAACUAAAUCAUAAGUAUGUUGAAAAUAUUAUAUGAGUUGAAAAUGAAAUUUAAUGGUCGGUGCGAGAAGAUGGGUGGAUGGAGAGUAAAGCAAAGAUGCUUAAAGAAUAAAGAUUGCAUCCAACUGACGACUUUUUCAUGAUUUUUAAUUAGUAUUCCAUUAGUAAUUAGUAGGGCUUUUUGAGUUAUUCUAGAUUGUUAAUCACACUGAUAAUCAUGGAAACUUGAAGGCCAAGGUAAAGCGUCUAUCUUCUUCUUCUUUUUUAGCUUUAGCGUCAAUAUCUUCUUAACCUUUAAUUCUUUCUGACUUUCUCUUUUUCUCAUUCUGAUACUUAACUAAAAAACCACACCUACUAGUCAAAUUCUUGUUACAAAAUAUAGUUUCCUUGAUACUUAAUUAAUAAGAAAUGUGGACUAUAUAUUAUUGAUCAACAAAAAUCACUUUUAACUAUUAUUAUCAAUCAAUAAGUGGCUCAUAUGACUUUAUCAAACAGAUGGUUGCAGUGAUACUUGUGACAAUAGGGGCAAUAAUGUCGAUUAAAAACUUCAACAAUUCCUUCAAUAAUCAUCACCAACAGCUUGGAAUUGGACUUUACGCUAUUGUAUGGUUCCAAGCUCUUCUUGGCUUCCUCCGACCUCCAAGGUACUUCUGGUUCCUUUUUUCUCUUCAGCAUAAUAAAUAGAGAACCGAUAGUUUUUUGCGACGAAAUUAUAACAAUUAUUAUUUUGUGUUCUUGCGUUUGCAUAUAGAGUUUGCAUUUGUUAGACUUAAUUGUAUGUUAUCAAUCAUGACGAGGACUUCCAAAUGGGUCUAGUUUAUAAGUAUUGUUUUGUUUACUAUACAUUGCAGGGGAGGAAAAUCUAGAAGGAAGUGGUUUGUAGGACAUUGGAUAUUAGGAACAUUAAUUACUAUUCUUGGGAUGAUAAACAUAUACACAGGUUUACACGCUUACGCCAAAAAGACAUCAACAAGUGCUAAGCUUUGGACCAUACUCUUCACGGCACAACUCGCUUCUAUUGUCUUGGUCUAUCUUUUUCAAGAUAAGUGGUCUUAUAUCCAAAGCCAAACUACAUUUAACAGAAAUCAAUCCGUUGAUCAUAACAGCAACAUAUCAACCGCAGAGACUGGACAUGGAGACGAGGUCGAAGAGGCUAAACCCGAGUUAGAGAAAUGCUAAAAGCGCCUGUAAGCUAUUAGUAAUUUAAUUUGUUCUUAUCUUGAGAGAUUGUUUUCCAGGAUACAGAAAAGGUUUCAUAGGCAUUUGAAUUGAUUUGUAGAGUGGUAAUGACUGACUUUCGAGUUUCUUUCUUUCUUUUUUUUUUUUUUUUUUUUUUUUUUUUUUUUUUUUUUGUCAUAGUUUCUUUCUUCUUUUGUUAUUUUCAAGUGAAACAUGCUCAUAGGCUGUGAUUAAGUCCUAACCUAAAUUUUAAUUGCACUUGUAUCAAGAUGAAAUUAAUUUAGUAUAAAAUUAUAAAUUAGUACUGGAUACAAAGAUAUAAACUACUAUAUGUAUAUUGUUUAUUUAUAAAGACAUCCAUAUAUUUAUACUAAUAUAUGAAAUUCAUUUAGUAUAAAUAUGAUGAAUUAGUAUAAAUAUAUAUGAUAUAUACAAAGAUAUAAACUUCCAUAUAUUAGUAUUAAAAAAAACUUCCACAUAUCUCUAGAUCUCCAGACCAAAACUGAAUCCAACGAAAAUGGAAACUGAUCCAUCUCCUUUCCUCAUUAAUAAAGAUUCUAACGUUCAUUUUACCAAUUAAGUACCGUAAGACAGAGAGAAAAUAUCUUUAAUUUAAGAAAAAAAUCUACAUGUAGAGAUAUUUUCUUAAAUUAGAGCCGAUAUAACAUAUACUACACAAACACGUCAUAUAUAUGCCGAUAUAUAUAAACAAAAGCCACACAAUUCUUCUUCUUCACCAAACCAAAAACGUUGACAACUUGUGUGAGUUUUGCAAUGAUGAGAGGUGCUGCUUCGACCGGAGUAGUAAUGGUCAUGGUUAUAAUGAUACUUGUGUUGUUAAACCAAACAGAGAGUGCUAGUGUGAAUGGUUCAUCACAAUCACAUAGAAAGUUUUGUAAUAUUUAUUUAGGAAGUUGGGUCUAUGAUAAAUCUUACCCUCUCUAUGAUUCCAAGACUUGUCCUUUCAUCGAGAGACAAUUUAACUGCAAGUCCAAUGGUCGCCCUGACAAAGAGUACCUCAAGUAUCGGUGGCAACCUUCCGGUUGCAAUCUCCCCAGGUGAUUCUAUCUUUUCUUCAUGUAUAUAUAACGUUUUUCUAUAGGUAGAUCUAGUGCAUUUUAAGACAUAUUACUAAUCGUANNNNNNNNNNNNNNNNNNNNNNNNNNNNNNNNNNNNNNNNNNNNNNNNNNNNNNNNNNNNNNNNNNNNNNNNNNNNNNNNNNNNNNNNNNNNNNNNNNNNNNNNNNNNNNNNNNNNNNNNNNNNNNNNNNNNNNNNNNNNNNNNNNNNNNNNNNNNNNNNNNNNNNNNNNNNNNNNNNNNNNNNNNNNNNNNNNNNNNNNNNNNNNNNNNNNNNNNNNNNNNNNNNNNNNNNNNNNNNNNNNNNNNNNNNNNNNNNNNNNNNNNNNNNNNNNNNNNNNNNNNNNNNNNNNNNNNNNNNNNNNNNNNNNNNNNNNNNNNNNNNNNNNNNNNNNNNNNNNNNNNNNNNNNNNNNNNNNNNNNNNNNNNNNNNNNNNNNNNNNNNNNNNNNNNNNNNNNNNNNNNNNNNNNNNNNNNNNNNNNNNNNNNNNNNNNNNNNNNNNNNNNNNNNNNNNNNNNNNNNNNNNNNNNNNNNNNNNNNNNNNNNNNNNNNNNNNNNNNNNNNNNNNNNNNNNNNNNNNNNNNNNNNNNNNNNNNNNNNNNNNNNNNNNNNNNNNNNNNNNNNNNNNNNNNNNNNNNNNNNNNNNNNNNNNNNNNNNNNNNNNNNNNNNNNNNNNNNNNNNNNNNNNNNNNNNNNNNNNNNNNNNNNNNNNNNNNNNNNNNNNNNNNNNNNNNNNNNNNNNNNNNNNNNNNNNNNNNNNNNNNNNNNNNNNNNNNNNNUCAAACAUAUCUUAGUAUAUGGACCUAGUAUCUAACUAAGGUAAUCAUUUGGGGUUGCAGAUGGGACGCAAUUAUGUCCGGGAAUGUAACGGUUAAAGACAUGGACCGGUUAGUGGCAUAUGAGAAAGCAAUGAUGACUUGGGCUAAGUGGAUUGAUCAGAACAUUGAUCCUUCCAAAACCAAAGUCUUCUUCCAGGGUGUUUCUCCGGACCAUGGCCGGUAAGUUCUUUCUCUAUAUAACUUUUUUUUAUUCGAUACAUACUUUAAAUCAACGAUAAAAAUUAACACGAUGGAUAUAUGUUGGAUUAGUCUAUAAGUUUUGGUUAGAACCAAAUAAUUUAAAGCUCAUAGAUUAAAAUAAUUUGAAGUGGAUAUUGUUAACAAUAAUGGUACAUAUAAUGCUACAGCGCAAGCGAAUGGUCGAAACAAGGUGGCAAAGGCAGUUGCAUUGGAGAAACAAAGCCGAUUAUGGGAUCGAAGUACUGGGCGGGACCACACCGAGCGGAGAUGGUGGUGGCAAAAGUGAUAAAGACAAUGAAAAAUCCGGCGCGGUUAAUGGAUGUGACAUUGAUGUCUCAGCUAAGGAAAGAUGGACAUCCUUCGGUAUACGGGUUUGGCGGUCACAAGAUGCCGGAUUGUAGCCAUUGGUGUCUCUCUGGAGUCCCGGAUAGCUGGAACCAGCUCUUGUAUUCUGAGUUGUUUCAUUCUUAAAAUUUUGAUGGUUAGAGUCAAAACACAAUUCAUUAUAUGAUUUAUGUUGGUGUUGUUUUACCCAUUUAUUGAUGACCUAAACAUGUUUAUUUAGAUUUUCAUUUUCUUUUGUCAAUCAAAAUGUUUAAAAUUAGAACAAGACUCUUUGACUGGUUGAACAAUUUAUAAGAGAAGAAUUUACAAAAGUAUAACCAUCUGAUCUUGUACUAAUUGAAUGGACUAUUAGGUGUUGUUCGUUCGACUGAAAAUUGUUCGUUUGGGAGUUGCAGGAUCUUGCGACUAAUCGCGCGAUCAAUCGCCGCGACUUGCAACUGAUUUUUUUGAUCGCAUGAAAAAAUAGCGAUGCGACUUUUUAAACAGCGAUUAGUCGCAGCGACCAGUCGUGCGAUUGCUAAACGAACAACAUCAUGCGAUUCAAAAUCGUAGUCGCAGUCGCAAUCCCCUUGCGAAUAUGAAACGAACAUGACCUAAAUAUGUAUUCUGAAAUCUAAUUAGUGAGAGAUUAUUAGAGAAAGACCAAACUUGAAGUAAACCUUAUUCCACGAGAGUAUAUCAUUACUUUUUUUGAUAGGAGUAUAUCAUUACCUUAGAGACAAAGAUACUAAUCAAUUUAUUUUAAAUUUUUACAAAUUUUCAGAUUACUUUAUAAGUUAAUCAUAGUCAUAGUGAGAUUUAGUUCAGUUUAUACAUGGAUGUACUAGGAUAUGACCCGCGGUACACCGCGGGUUAAUUAUUUGAUUUUAUUUUUAUUUUUUAUAAACUGAUGAAUUUGUUGUGUAUGAUAUUUUUUUGUUGUACAUCGUGGAACACAUGCGUUGUAUAUAAAAAAAUAAAAAUUUUAAGUUGUAUUUGUUUUGUUUACUGUUUAAGAUUGUAUAAUUAAAUUUUGAUUUGUUAAUUUUAGGAUUUCACCCGUAGUAUAUUGUCCCGUAUUAAUAUCGAUCCAAACCCGUCCCACCAUAUACUCAUGUUCUGUGGAAUUAAACAUCAUUUUGUAAUUUUUUUAAUAACACUUUUAUUUAAAAGAUAUAUAAUUCGAAUCAAUUUAAAAGUUUACUUUCAAAUGGUUUUCAUAAUAUAUAUAUUUUAAAAUUAGUAUGUGUUUUUGGACCAACCCGUAAAAACAAUUUAUAAUUGUAUCUUAAAAUACUAAAUAAUUGUAUUUUGAUUUGUUAAUUUUAGGAUCUCACCCGUGGUAUACUGUCUUGUUUUAGAUAAUUGUAGAAAUUAAGAAAAGAUCUGAAUGAUUCAAUUUCGGAUCAGAAUAAAAAAAACGACCCGAUUAAAUGUGCAAUUUGUUCUUAAAAAAUGUUAAUAUAGAUUACACACAUACUUUUUUUCUUCAUCGAUUGAGUAAUAUAUGUCUGUUUAAAAAAAUUUAAAUCAUAACAUAUGCAGAAAAAAAAAAUUAUUAACUAUAUAUAUUUUAUAAUAAUUCAAAAUAAUAUAAAUAUAAUAUCAAAUAAAAGUGAAAUGAGAAUCAUAUAUUUAUGUUUAAAUUAGGUAAAGAGGUUUUAGAAAAUUAGCUCAAAUUUGUUAUAUUAUCAUUAAAUUAUCAUAUUUGAUUUCCUAAUCUAUAAAAAUUGUAAAGAAUAUACCAUAAAUAAAUAGUUUAAAUAUAGUAAUUAGUUGAGAAAAUAUAUAUAAUUUAGAUUUUAUUAGGUAUUUUCGUUUUUAAAUUUUGCCAUAAUUUAAGGAAAGAUCUGAUUGAAGAUUUUCGGGUCAAAAUCAGAAAAAAAUCCCGACCCGAUUAGAGGAGCAAAUUUGUACUUCAAAAAUGUUAAGUAGAUAGAGAUUAGCAAAAUUUUAGUAAAAUUUAGUUAUGAGAUUAUUUACAUAUGAUGAAUCUAAAACCCAGUUUGACCAUAAUCAAAAACGAAAAAUACAUACUUUUCGAUGCACUAAUCCCACUCUUAGUUGCCAUGAAUGGGCGGUUACAAUUGAACUGCAAAAAACAAUACGAAAUAUAUAUUAGUGAUACAUAUUGUGAAGAAAUCUAGAAUUUUUUAGUUGUAAAGAAAUGAAAAGAAGAAAGAAAAACAAUAAAUAUUUUAGCUAGAGAAAGAAACAACAAAGAAAGAACAAAGAAAGAGAAAUCAUCCAAGUUUUGUGUUUGGUGAUGGUAAAUGGAGUUUAGGUGUUUAGUAUUUAUAGGAAAACUAAUUAGGUUUCGCUAAUUCAUAGAAAUCUUCGGAAAAAAAAAUAAUAACUGCCGCAAGAUAUUAGGGAGUAAAUCUUUUAUAUUGUUAAUUGGAAUAUGCUAGGAUUAUGCGUUUAUUUGAGUAUUUAAUAUAUUUCUAUAAUUCGUUGGGGAUUUAAAUAUUAACUAACCCUAAUUGUGUCGUUAAAGAUAAUAUGUUGAGAUUUUGGCAAGUUUGUUAAACGUGUAAUCUUUAAUUCAAAUAUUUAAUGCUAAUUCGCGAAUAAAAAAUUGAGAUAUUCUCUAAAUUUUAUACCAACUAUUAUUAGAAAUGAUUGAUGAUACAAUUGCGAUUUAGUAAUAUGCUAAUUAUUUAGAUUAGUUGGUGCAGUUAGUUUCCUAUUAACGUUAUUUUAGGGAUUCGCUUUUAGGAUAAUAUAGAUUUUAUAGUUUUAUUGUCAUAAAUUAAUCAUAUUCUGUUGCCUAAAUCAGAAAAUAUUAUCAAAAAAGAUUUUUUGUGAUAUUAAAUAUGAAAAACGAAUUUAUUACUUUUUCAAAAUAAAUUAAACAAAUUUAUUACUAAUUAGUGUCGUUUUUCUUUAAAAACUUUCCUUAAUUAUCUUAUCUAAGAUCCGAACAGAAUUAAACUGGGUCAAAACCUGACCCAAAUGAAUUAAAAACCAAAAUCCCCUCUAAAAAUGUAUAUGUAGAUUAUGUAAUUAUAUUGUUUAGGUAGUAUAAUUAAACCCAUCUGAUGACCCAAUGACACGCGUAAUUAAAAAAUGAAUAAUGCUAGCGACGUGGAUUAAUUAUGAUUAUGGUUUUUGAUUAAGCUAAUCAUACUACCUAAACAAUAUAAUCAACUGAAGUCAGAAACAAAGAUUUAGGAAACUAAAAAUAUUGUAUUGUUUAGCUUAAUCAAAAACAACGAAAUUGAUGAUAACAAAUGUUUAGAAAACUGAAAAUAUUGUCAAAGAUUACGAAUUGUAGUUGAAAAUAAAUUUUGUUUAGAUAUAAGAACGUAGACACAUUUUCAAUUUUUAGUAACAUUUUCAAAAAAUGGAGAAUUAUAUAACAUUUUCAGUUUAUAUAACAUUUUCGAAAUAUAUGAGUAUUAUAAUUCAAAAUAGCAUUUUUUAUUUUUUAUAAAUUGGAUUGAUAUAAAAUGUUUUCCNNNNNNNNNNNNNNNNNNNNNNNNNNNNNNNNNNNNNNNNNNNNNNNNNNNNNNNNNNNNNNNNNNNNNNNNNNNNNNNNNNNNNNNNNNNNNNNNNNNNUAUAUAACAUUUUGAAUAACAUUUUCAUUUUCAAUAAUAUUUUCGAAUAAUAUAUUAGUAUAUGAGUAUAUAACAUUUUUAUGUAUUAUAUAAACAAAAUCUUUUUAUGUAUUAUAUAACAUUUUUAUGUAUUAUAUAAUCUCUAAUAUUGAUUAGUAUAUAACAUUCUCGAAUUAUAUUAAUUAUGUAUAUAAACAAAAUCUUUUAAUAUCUUUAAAUCCGUUGACCCGUUGACCCGUUUAUAUAUAUUAGUGACAUGGAAUAAAUUUUAUGAUUAGAAUUAUAUAAUGGCAUAUAUUGUAAUUUCUUACAAAAUUUAAGUUAUGAUCUUUAGGAUGUACUUCCCAAAUAUUAGUAUAGGAUGAGAGUAAAUCCAUUUAUCUACAUUUAAGUAUUUAAUUAAUUGCAGUAUUAAAAAUAUAAAAAAAUCGAUUUUUUUUCCUUAUUAUUAUGCUCGGUCGCCCCAAAAGAAAGGGCCAAGGAAGAUAGAGAUUUGAUUUGGUCAUAAAAAUUGGGCUUUAGAGUAAAAAACAAACAAACAAACAAACGAAAACAUCUCUCUCUUUCACUUCACGUCGUCGAGCUCCGGAUCUCAUCGGCGUUUCAUCAUUCUCCGUCGAUCUAUUCACCGUACGACUCCGUUAUUAGGAAUCUGUAGAUGUCAAUUUGAGAGAAAAGACUAUCUGUCUCCAUUACAACACAUUCUCCGCCAGAAAGGACAAUGGCGGUGGUGGAUGUUCAUCGGUUCGCUGAGUCAAUCACUUGCCAUGCGUGGAGUCCUGAUCACUCCAGUAUGUUUCUCUCUUCCUUGCCUUUUUGUUUUUUUUUUUAAUAAUUAUAUGAGGAGGAGGAUCUAUAGUUUGGCUGGUAAGAAAGAUAGAUGAGAGAACUGAAUUGCCUUUUAUGUUGUUCUAAUACAUCUUGCUAAUCAAAUUUCUUCAAAAUCCCUAGAAUUCAGGAUUUUCGGGUCAAUGUUUGUUAUGUCUGUUUGUCAGUGUCUCUUCUUAGGAACAGUUGGUAUCUUCUGUACUAAGCCUGUAACCAUUUAUGUGCUGUGACAUUUGCUUUGUUUUUCUUCCUAGUGGUUGCUCUCUGUCCUAACAAUACUCAAGUUCAUAUCUAUAAAUCAUCAUCUCAAGACCAGUGGGAGAGGUUACAUGUCCUCCAAAAGGUGAACCUCUAUAUCUUGAACUUUCAUUCCUUUCCUUUCUCUUCUUGAGAAUUAUUUACUAAAUAUAUUUAUUUAUUCUCAUUUUACUGAAAAGUGUUCUAUAGACAGUUUCAAUCUUUCUUACAACAAAGUCGUGAUAAUUGUUUGAAUCGUUGUAGCAUGACCAAAUUGUUUCUGGAAUUGACUGGAGCUCAAAAUCCAACAAAAUCGUCAGUGUUUCUCAUGACAGGAACUCGUAAGUUGCAAACUUUUAUAUACUUUGAGGAAAUUGGCCAUUUGGGUAACCUUUUACUUCGAUUAGUGCUGUGAGAAACUGCAAACCUGUUAUUCUUAGUUCUUCACUGUUUUAGUUAGUUAAACUGAGUUUAGAAUGCUUCUUGAAGGUACGUGUGGAGCCUGGACGGAGGUGAGUGGGUACCAACUCUUGUUAUUCUUAGACUAAAUCGUGCUGCACUUUGUGUCCAAUGGAGCCCGAAAGGUAAAUGUAUCAGAUCUAAAGUUUUCUGAGUUCUCAAGCUUACUUGUCUAUGUAAUAUGUAAAGUACUUUUCCUAUAAUUUCUACAGCUUCUAAUCUGUGUUCCCAUCUUUUUUCUCAAUACCUUUAGAGAACAAGUUCGCUGUUGGAAGUGGUGCUAAAACUGUUUGUAUUUGCUAUUACGAGCAAGAGAAUAACUGGUAAUUUCUUUUUCUGCUCCUAGUUCUCAUUAUUAGUCAUGGAUUUUCCUUGGAAUGUUGCCUAAAAAUGGCGUUGUUGGUCUAUGUAAUGGUAUUAUCUUGUGUUAUGUACUGGCAUGUUAUUAGCACCUAUUUUUUUUUUUUUUAUCAUCUUGGCAUGCUUAAACCAUGUAAUGUGUUGAGGUUUUGGAAAGAUCUGGACUAUGUGCAAUUCUCACAAAGUAUAUUAUUAGUUUCAUGUAGAGUUUCGUAUUUUAGUUGGCUGACAUUGCUUGGCUUUACUGUGUUCAGGUGGGUCAGUAAACUUAUCCGGAAAAGGCACGAAUCUUCAGUCACAUCUGUUGCUUGGCAUCCUAAUAAUGUACGUGCAAUUAACACAACCCCCUGUACUUGAUGUAGCCAAAAUUAAUCAGGCCCUCUGCAAUUGCUUUCUGUACCAAAAAUAUUAUAUUAGUUGGCCACCGAAUAGAGUAUAGAGUACAUGAUCCCUAAGAUAGAAUAUCAAUCUCCACAAACUAGUUAAUCUUCUAAAUUAUUGUUGCCGGUACCUUUUCAUGCUGCUGUUCUCUCUGAUUGUCUGUUUUGCAUUAGAUUCUUCUGGCAACGACAUCUACAGAUGGAAAAUGUCGGGUAUUUUCAACAUUCAUCAAAGGAGUUGAUACAAAGUAUGCUCAUUUCUUGAAUGUCUAUUUCUAAAACGUUUUCGCAAAAAAAUGGGUGUAGUUUCUAAUAUUUUCUCUCAAUGGGCUGAUACAGGGAUUCAAAAGCAGGCUCACCAGCGGAAACUAAAUUUGGGGAGGUUUGAUUUGUUUGGCAGGCUUUCCUUCUUUUCGUAAAUAUCAUAAUGCUUAUGCCAUAUAACUGUUGCCUUGCCUCUACUCCCUCAUCUAAUGUUAGGGAGCUUUUUUUCUUUUGUGUAUUUGUUGACAGCAAAUUCUUCAGCUUGAUCUCUCAUAUUCUUGGGCAUUUGGUGUGAAAUGGUCUCCAAGUGGAAACACCUUAGCUUAUGUAGGUCAGAAUAUCCUUAAAACUUCAGAUGUUUGUCCAUUGAGCUCUACUGGAGUUAUAAAAUGGAACUUCAACUUGGUUGCAUAAUUUUUACUAUACUCUGUCUCACUUCCCUUGUUUCUGUAAUCUUGUAUAGGCCAUAGCUCCAUGAUUUACUUUGUUGAUGAUGUUGGUCCUUCUCCUUUAGCCCAAAGCGUUGCAUUCCGAGAUUUGCCUCUUCGUGAUGUGGGUCAGCAUCCACUCUUCUUUUACUUUUGGAAACUAGUCUUCUCCAUGUGUUAUAUCCUGAAUUUAUAUGCUACUUUCAAUUUGCUUUUUCAGGUCCUGUUUAUUUCUGAGAAAAUGGUGAUAGGUGUUGGAUAUGACAGCAAUCCAAUGGUAUUUGCUGCAGAUGAUACUGGAAUAUGGUGUGUAACUCUCAGAAAUAUCUGCUUAAUUAUCUCUUUCUUAACUGUUUGCAUAUAAUCAAAUCCUUCAAUUAAUUUAUACUCGUUUACAAAUCUUUGUUUAUGGUCUGUAGGAGCUUUAUCAGAUACAUCGGAGAGAAGAAAGCGGCAUCUUCAAAUUCCAGUUACAGUUCGCAGGUACAUACCAAAUUUUAUUUCUUGUUUUUGGUGCAAUAUGUCUGGUUUUAGCCUUUUCGAAUAAAAUAUGAUUGAAAUGUACCUUAUUCCUGAAGUGUUCCUAUAAGAUAGUAAUCUUUCGGGUUUGUGUAGUUGCUCCUUCUUUUUUCCUUGGGGUUACUACUUUCCACUUGCAUUAUUUGUCCUGUUUUGUCUAACCCAUCUUUUUAUUAUGUUAUGUUUUCAGUUUUCCGAAGCAUUUGGAAAAUUCUACGGUAGUCAAUCAAAGUCUGCAACAGCCAAUGAUGCUUCUGAAUCACGUGGACGCGUUCAUGAUAACUGCAUAAAGUAACUUUUUCUUAAGCUAACUUUACUUUAACCAAAUCAUUUGCCAGAAGACUGUCUCACUAACUCUUUUACUCGAUUCUCCGUUAAGAGCCUGACGUGGAAGUUUACCUGAAAAUUGCAGUUCUAUUGUGCCUCUGAGCAAAGCAGGGAGUCCUAAAGUUAUGCGAUUCAGCACUUCAGGUCAGUCACUAAUUCAAAUGGAAUCAGCCGAUUCAGUUCUCAAAAAAUAAACCAGCAGCUUCAUUUACUCGCAUAUCGGUUUGUUAUUUAUAGGAUUGGAUGGCAAAGUAGCCAUAUGGGAUCUGGAGAACAUGGAACAAGAACUUGGCAAUCAGUUUUAAUAAACACACAAAUAAAACAAAUCUGGAUCACAAGCAACGUUUUACUUAUUAAUUUGUAUAUCAGAUUUCUUUUUUUGACUAAAUGCCAGCCUUUUUUUUUUUUAUAACUCUUUUUCCAAUUUCGUAUUUGUUUCACUUUGUAAACUACAAUAAUAAAAGGCCUUAUUUUCUUGGUUUGUGUAAGGGCAGGUAUUAUUAAUAAGUUUCUUGGCUUCAUGAUUUGAUUCAUUUAGUUAGCAUCUGGUAAUACAUUUUUCUUUAAUAGUACAUUUUCAGCAUUGUGUCGAAAGGAGUCCAUAUUGAACCACACAUAAAACAAUUCGCAAAAUUUUCAAGUUCUUGAGAAGAAAAAAAAAGCUUUGGUCCUCCGAACUAUGCCAUAUUUACCACAAAACGUAUAUUCAAAGACUAAUCUUCUCUCAGAGAGCUGACAUAAGUGUGAUCCAGAAGAUCAAAUCUGCUGAUGUGUAACAGGCAAAACUAAUCUUCUUUGAAUGUUUCUCACUUAUUUGCAAAUAUAACUACUGUCCUCGUCCUAACCAACUUCCAGAGUACCUACUUUUUAAAGCAUAAACUAGAGUUGUAACUCAGAAGCAGAUAUGCAGAGAAACACGACUUGGAACGAUUGAUUAUAUGUCUCCAAGAUCCUUCCUUUUCGUCCCAUAAGCAAUAUAGUUGACACUAAUAUCAUCUGACAAUAACCAUCUUCCUGUUAUUGGGUUGUACACAAAUCCAGCCAUCUCUUUCACCUGCAAUACAUAGUUUUCUAGUUAUCACCUCUAGCAAAAUCUAUCAGAUGAACAAUCCUUCUUUUUGUGAUAUUACCACUUGCCCACAUCGAGACAUGCAUACUGUUGUUUUGGUUUCAGUCGGCUUAAGAUUUCUUAUUGAAAUUGACAUAAGUGUUAUUGAAUGGGGAGGGAUAGGCUUACAUCGACUGAAGCAUGUUGUAAUAUCAUACUCAGUUCUUCAGGAGUUACAAAACUUGACCAUUGAUGUGUGCCUUUAGGAAGCUGCAAGGUGAUUUAAUAUACAAACAACAAAAUGAGUAACCAAGAACACAUGAAGUAAGAAAAAGUGUUAAGUGUUAACAGAAGAUAAAUAAAGUGUGAAACUGAAGAUUACCCAACGUAGGAUGUACUCUGCUCCAACAAUGGUUGAUGCAUAUGCUCGCAUAGUGCGAUUAACUGUAGAAAGUAUUGUAGCCCCAUUGGGGAUGGUCAAUGCUGACAACGACUUGCAGAACUCUGCAGGGUUGGCUACAUGCUCGAUGACCUUCAUUGUAGAAAAUCAGAAAAUUUGCCAUAAAUAUGAUGAUAUUAGAAGUGAGACAUGGAACAGUAUAAAUAUCAGGAAGUUUGACAAAGAGAAAGGGACAUGCUGAAAAAGAGAUGGACCAGCAAAAGGUACCUCUAAAGAGAGAACAGCAUCAAACUUCCUGCCUUCAUCCGCUAGCAUUUCUGCGCAAGAAAAUAUUAGUUCGUAUUUAAAAAGAGGAGAGGUAACAGAUAAUCAGCUUCUGUAGAAGAAAAUUCCAUGUAACACUUUAUUUGAUCAUUAUCUAAGAUUAGGAAAAAAAUACCUGCUGUAGUACAUAGGUAUUCAAUCGUUGAAGUCACUGGAUCCAUAUCCUGCAGUGACAUUUUAUUGGCAUAAAAGAAAGAAUAGAAGUCAAGAUAGAGAAGGGGUUAUAUGAACUCUAGUCCUAUGCCAUAAUGUGAAAACGUGUUCACUACUGCACAAGCAUUCUGAAAGCUGCCAACCUUGACAGGACUGAAGUGUAGAGUUCAAAUAAAUAGGUAUCCAAGAAAAGUACUUCACCAAAUGGAGCACACAAUUGCAUGUAACAUAACAAUACAGUCACUGUAUAAGUUAUCUGAAUGAUUAAUGACACAAUUAAAGUAAGAGACCUUACAGCGUGAAGACGAGCAAUUUUGACAUUCUUAUCAACAGCAUCAACUCCUGUGACAGUUGCUCCCAUCCGUGCUAGAGGCUUCAAAGAAAAAACAACAAGCCACCGCUCACCAAAUCUUCUUUAUAACUAACAACAAUGUCAUUUUGAGUGUAACCUCAAACGCUCAACCAACAAGCCCAAAAGGAGAGAUCACAAAACUCGAAACUAUUACCAACUUUAUCUACUUGCUAGACCCUAGAUUGGUCUCAUACUAGGAAGAACGAAAAAAAUCAUAUGCAAACUAAGGUAUGCAGGAGCUCAUGAAAAAAAUACCUCAGAAAGUAGUCCGCCACCGCAACCUAUAUCGAUAAAUCUCAGUCCUUCAAAAGGCUUAGCAGAACUCGGAUCCUUACUGGAAAAAUAAAUAAAUUAAUCCAACAGAGAAGGAUAGAAGAAACCAAACUAUUCACAAGAAAUGCACCUGAAAUGCCUGCAUAAGGUCGAGCGGAUGAAAGCCAACCGAGUUGGAUUCAUUUGAUGCAACGGUUUAAAGGGCCCUUCAGAAUGCCACCUUCGUUUAAUAACACAAGAGCAGAGAAAUCAUGUGAACCUUUAUAUUCUAAGAAUCAAUGAAUACAUUUCUUGAGUCAAGCUUAGUAAACUUAUCACAUCUUCCAAAACAGUAGCUUGAACUUAAAUAGUCUAACAGCUUAUAGACCAGAUUCAAUUGCUUGAAUAAAAUCCAAUUGUUCCAAAACCACUACAACAAGAAUCAACCUCAAUGAAAAAGAUAAAAGCCAAGUAUAUUUUCAAAGCAUCCAACUUUUGAUCGUUUCAUAGAAAUGAAACUCCUUCUCCUUCAAAUUAAAAGCACUAUAGCUAUGUACGAAUUUCAAAGCAAACGAGACGAACCAUGUAUCAGCAAUGGCAGAGAAUUUGGCAAGUUCAUCUUCAUUCAAAGAUGUUGUUGUUGACGAUGUGCUUCGGCUUUUAUUAGAAGCUUUGCCUUCAAGCGUUUGCAUUUUCGGAUGCGAAGAGGAAAAAGAUGCAGCCGACGAAUCAGUAUCUGAAGUCGAGAACAGGCGCUGGUGAAGUAAACACGACGGAGGUAUGAUUUGGGAAGAAGAUAAGCGUCGAGCAGAGAGAAGAAGCCUUUGUAGUUGAUUCAUCGACUUCGACGCCAACAUUUUCGAAAGAUCAGAGAUGGCUGAGACAAAGAGAAAGCGAUCACGAGUUUCGGAAACGGCGGUCGGAAAUUACUGACGUCGGCGGAGUAAACGAGCGAAAUUGAAGAAGAGGGCAAAAUUGGAAUUUGGAAUUCUUGAAGGAUGUAAUCUUAAUGGGCCUAAAACUAUUGUAAGGCCUAUUAAAUAUUGAGAUUGAUGAUAAUCAGUAACACAAUUAGAGAAAAAUAUUUAGACUAUUUUCCUACUUUUGAUAUAAAAUUUAGUAUAUUUUUCAUAAUUCUUCUAUAAAAUGUUUUAUUAUUUCAUUUUAAAAAAUUUGGUCUAAGGAAAUAAUUAAUAGGAUCGCACAAAAGUUCAAAAGAGUAGUUUGAUUUUGAUAUGUUGGAAUCAGUUUAUUUCACUUUCUGCUUAUAGUAUUUUUUGUAACAAAGGUCCCACGAUCGAAUGAGAAAUCUCAUUCUUAUAUACAAUCAUUAUAAUUUAAGAGAUCCGGGUAGGCUUUCAUUAAAGUGUGUAAAUAUCACAUCGGCACAUACAAAAACUAAUAUAUCCUGGAUACACAAAAUAUUAGAGGGCAAAGACAUUGGUAAUAAAUCUUAUUUGAUAAUGUGAUAUGGUGUGUCCACAAAAUCUUUCUUCUUACUAGAGAUUAGCGAUUUAAUACAGUUGAUUCAAAGACUAGCAAUCCCCUAAUGAUGGGGAUAAAUACUUUCAAACCGGACAUCCGGGUGAGAUAAAUAAAGAUUCUGACAGUGAAUUUUCAGAUCCGGAUCCGCAUAAUGAAAAAAUUUAGACCCAGAUAACGGAUAUCCGAUCCUAAGAUUAUUUGCAAUAGACGUCAAUAUUUUAUGUUGAAUUUAAAUAUGAUAAUCAAAAUCUAUUAGAAUGUUAUAAUUUUAUUAAAAGUUGAGAUAUUUUUAUACUAGUAUAUAAGAUUUAUGGGUCUCUCCUCCAUUCAUUGCAAAUUGAUUUUGAAUAAGAAGCCAUAACUCCUAAUAAAAUUUGAUUUAAGCUUUUAAUGAGAUUUGUGUUUGUGUCUACGUUAUGUGCACUCGAAAGCAGACAAUAGUAUUUCUACCAUCGAUCAUGAUGAUAGCUCGGGCAUUCUGCCUCUGAAUGUCUUAAAAACGUUUUUUCAAUUUAUUAUGUUGGAUUUAGUUUGUUCAAUGUCUUUCGAAUGAACGAGACACAUUUUUUACCAGCAAUUACGGAAACUUGAAUGUUUGGAAUGAUUGAUUAGGUAGAGUAGAAUUUUAAAACAAAAUGAUGAUAAAUAAAAGUAACUUUUUUGAAAACCUUAUUUUAUGUAUGUAUUUCAUCAAAAUACUAAUAUCAACUUGACAUUUGUUCUACCUUUUCGAUUUACUAUUCACUAAUAUUCUAUUACACCACACUAAUCACAAGGUUCACAACUAAUGGUGUAUGAAGCGUGUUUGUGCUUCAAACUUUGCAGCGAAUAUUCAAACUUUUUAUCUAUAAAAAAGGAAGAGUGUGGGGCAUUAAAAGGAGCUGUCUCAUAGUUGGUAAUGUCAAUUAGAAGCUGGCAAUACAAUACAUGUAGGACAAUUCAAUCAUCGACCCAUUUGUAUAGAUAAUGCAACCCAAUUAGUUCACCUUCAUACAAAGAAAAAAAGGCAUUUAAACCGAACCGAACCGAACCGACCCAACCCAACCAAACUCGAACCGACUUAAACCGAACCCAAGCUUAGACUCAAACCAUUCGGUUGGGUUUAUUCUCAACCCAAAUGGGUCGGUUCGGCUCGGUUUAAAACCGAACCGAACCGAUAACCCAAUAUGUUUAUUUAAUUAAUUAGUUAAUUAUAUUAAUAAUAUUAUAAAUAACUAAAUAUGUGUUUAUUUUUACUUCUAUAAUAAUUUGAAUAAAUGUAAAUUAGAUUUAAUUAUCUCUAAAACUCUAACCCUAAAAAACUUAGGGUUCUCCUUCUAACUUAUAAAGAGUAAAACUCAAAAAGACUUUCAUAUUUCAUUCUCGAUGAUAUUGCGUGAAGCAAUCUUCCGAAAUCAUGGAAGAUUGCUAUGUUACGUUGUUGGAUUUCAUUUUCCUUUUCUUCUAAUUACUAUGGUUGAGUUUUUUUAGGUUUUUCUUUUCAUGGUUAAUUUGAAUUAUUCAAUUUAAACUUACAAUUUGAACUUGAAAUUUAAUUACCUUAUCAAUUUCAAUGUUCAAAGACAAUAAUUUUUUUUGUUUUGUUACAUUAAUUGAUUUUUUGAACCGAACUCAAACCGAACCAAAUAUAAACUGACCCAAACACAAACCAAACCAAACUAACUUCGGUCGAGUUUGGUUAGAGUUUUACGAAACCCAAAUAAACCGAACCAAACCGAACCCAAAUCGAAUCCAAAUUAAACCGAAAUGCCCACCCCUAAAAAAAACCCCCAAAAUAUCUCAUUGAUAAGCUUAUACUCAUGACUUUUGUUAAUUUAUAAAGAUUAAUGAUGUCAAUAAGCAAAAUCAAGAGAGUUGAUAAAGGAAGUCACGUUUGGAGAUUCUCUCUAUAGUGUUUCGCUGGAGGCGUUGAAACAGCCCUCUUUAACAGCUCACUUGGUUUUCACAUUCCUAAAUUGUUAAACUCCUCUCAAUCUUCUUCUUACUUAUUCUAUAAAUCUCUGUUUCUCUCUGACAAUUUAUUCCAACGCAAAAAAAAAUGGCUGACGCUUUCUUGGAGAAGGCAACUUCUGCUGUCAACGAAGCCAAAGAAUCCGUUACAGCCACCGCUGAAACCACUACUGAAACCGCCAGGAGCGCUCUUACUGACGCUCAGAAAACCGUUGAAGCCUCCACUGAAACGGUCAAGACCGAGGCUGAAGCCGCGCCAAAGAAAGCUUCUGAUCUGUCUACACAGGUUAAGUCUUGGUCACACCCUUUUACAUGUUUCUUUUUUUUGGGGGCCAACAACUAAUAAACUCGAUCGUGUGAUGGUUUGAUCAGGCAAAGGAUGCAGUGGAUAAAGGUCUAUCAAGAGGUAUAGAAGGAGCCAAAUCUUUGCUUCAAGCUUUUGAAGAGAAGAGUAGCGAUAUUUCCUCAAAGCUCGUUGGAGGUGUUACCAAUCUUGUGAGUGGAGCAUCAAGCAGCACCGUGGCAAGCCGAGACCUUCCAGUAUCUACAGACAAUCAGGUCACAGAUUUAUGCAAAACCCUAUUUUCUUAAAACCCUUUAAAAGAAAAAUUAAGUUUAUUGUCUCUUAUACCAAAAGAUUGUAAUUCUCAUCAUGUUUUAACAAUUGAAUAUAUGCGUUUUGCAGCCUCUGCUAGCGUCUGGCGAAAAAACACCGUGGUGGAAGAAUUGUUGUGGAGUUCUUGAUUUUUUCAAGAAAGAUACUUAAGAUAAAAAGAUCCAAAAAUGACAAAUUAACGAGUUUCACAAGAUGAAGAAACAGAGCACUAGAAGAAGAAAGAACCCCCAUCCUUUUGAUUAUUUAUUUCCUUCCUUUUGAUUUUGAUUUUGAUUUGAGAUUGUGUCUAUCUGUUUUUGUUUGUUUUAUGUUUUGUUGAUAUCUUGAUUGUUUCCCAAGAACUUGUGUAAGAACCCAAAAAAAAAAGACAAAUAAAAAGGUAAAUUUCUUUGUGAUGAGUGUUGGAUUCUAAGACCAUCUUUAUUGGUGGUCUCUUAACACAACUCUUAAGUUAAGAGAUAUGUCUUAUAACUAACAAAAGUCUCUUAAAGUCUCUUAGCUAAGAGACUUUUGUUAGUUAUAAGACAUAUCUCUUAGCUUAAGAGUUGUCCUAAGAGACCAUUGAUAAUGUUGCUCAAUGAGCUUCAAAAGCUAAUCACAACAAGUUUCUCUAGUCUAAAACGAAACAAGACUUCGUAAAAAAAAAACUUAAGCUCCUGUUUCAUGAAGACCUACCUCAAAUUCUGAUCUUCUUCUCUGACUCUUUCAACGCCUCUUCCACCAUACUCAUCUUUUUCUCCAAUUGAUGCUCCACUGUGGGAGAAGUUGUCAAUCUACUAUUUACUAUUUCGCCAAUUAUGAAAGGUUUUUUUUUUUUUUUUUUUUUUAAUCCGUAGUGAAUGAGUAAAACAGUCAACAAUAAAAUUGAAAAGCAAUAAUGGGAUAGGAUUCGAUUAGGGUUUGAGCUUCAACAAUGAUUUUUUGAACGAAUCAAAUGUAAAAACUGAUAACUUGAUAUAGACUGCUUUGUUAUGAAUGGACGGCUGAGAGAAUUCAGGAAUCGGCACGAUUGAUGCAAAGUUCUACAAAAAAAGGAAACGAACCUUUGAGGAACAAAAUGAAAAAAAGUAAGAGCAAAAUAAAUUUACAUGAAUUUAAAACAUUUUAUGAAAACCCUUUGACAAAAAAAAAUAAUUUUAAACAUUUUUGUUAAAAAGCUUUCAUUAAAAUAGAAAGAGAAUAAGUCACAUAUUGUGGUGAUCGAUAUAUAAUGGUAAAAUAUUUAUUUUUUAUUUUAUUAAUAUCAAAGCAUAUUUAAUCCAUAUUCAGUUGACAAAAGAAAACUUAAUCCAAUUCUUCUUACAAUAACUUUCCUAUUUCAACUAAAUUGCAUCCAUUUUUUAAUCAAGCAAUUAAUUUCAGUUAAGAACACGACAAAUGGAUAAAAAAUAAUUAGAUUUGUCGACAUUGAUAAAACUGUUUAAUUUGAAAGUUACUAUUGCAACAAAACAUAAAAUAGUAUAUAUAUAUAUUAGAAAAUUAUGUUGACAAAAAAGAAGAUAGAUUACUCUUUAUUUUUUUAUUUUUUGUAUAAAUAAAAUUCUGACAUGGUAAAAGAGUUCACAUAUAUAGCUAUUACCAAAUAUAAAUAUUAUCAAAUGGAAUUAGUUCAAUACAAGAAAUGGCAGUUUGGUUCUGCAGGGUUUGAAUUCGAACAUGGUAUUUGUUUGGAAAUUGUGAUGAAUGCUUUACAAAACUUCAUAGACAUAUCAACGGUUACUAUAUAAUAUCAACGAUUAGGAUCAGAACUGAAAAUAACUAUCUUCUUUAAUUAGACUAAAAAAAUCCGGCUUUCAGAUUAGAUAUUACAUAACUAAAUUAAGGUCAUACUAAUUAAGUGGAUAUAAAAACAAAAGCAAAGAAGACGAGAAUAGAAGUAGAGAAAUGAGAAAGUUGUGGUGGAGGAGGUUGAAGCUUCGGGCUUGGGAGUUGGAUGUGACGGUAUUCUCCCGAAAAGACCUAAUCCAUCUUCACUUGUUACGUUCAAUAUCGAUUCACUCGUGCUGCGAUUAUCACAUUCAAAACCUUAUCAUCUCAUAAAUUCUUAUUAUAUGUGUAUUUAGUAACUUUAUAACAUAUCAAUUAGUUUUUGAGAGAUUUUUCACCUUGUAGACGGAAAGUGGCAUGAUCCUAAACCUGUCAACAGAGAGAAACCUUUCAUUUAGAUGGUUCUUUUCUCGAUAUACAUAUAUAUAUAUAUAUAUAUAUAUAUAUAUGUGACGAAAAAUAUUGAUAUGGAACACAUUCUAAACCUCUUGUAGUUUAGAUAUGUAGCCCGAUCAUGUGGAAACCGUUAGCAUUGCACACAGAAAGUAACUACUGUUUUAGACAAAAAAAAAGUAACUACUGUUUAGAAGCUCUGGUACUAAGUGAAUGUUUAGAGUUUUCUUAUAUCUAAUAUAGUGAAUUCUAAAUUUAUUAUCAGAUCUAAAGUCGUAAUAUAAUAUGAGGUAAGAUGUAGUGUUCAACUUCGUUUAUAACUUGUUGAUUUGUUUCGUCAAUAGCAUAUUCGUACUUAUUGCAUCCCGUCAUAUAAUAUCCACCAUCUUAACUAAUUAAUUCAUGGAUCUAUAAUUGUUUUUUUCUUCCCAAUUGACCAAUUAAUUAAAGUACCAUCACUAUUAUUGGUUGUUACAGUUGACAAUAUGAUACAAUCACUAAAUUCCAACUAGUAAACAUAUAUAAACAUUUAUUUACUCAAACAUCAAUAUUUAAUUUUUAGCUAGUGUACUACUAGCUAAUCCUACAAAAUGUAAGAGUUCAAAAUUACCAAGUUCGAACACCAACGGUAGAGACAAGAGAGAUUGACUAAUUAAUUUGUUUCCAAUCCGGAAGAAUUAUAGAUUUAAUGUCUGGUUAAGGAAAUAUAUUCUUUUAAAAUAAAUUUUUAAAUAGAAUAGAUAGGACUUACUCGGAUCAGCACUGAUAGUGACAGCAGUUCCAUCAAAAUUGCAACUACUAGGGAUUGGAUUCUUCUGGUAAUAACUGUUGAAGGCAAAAGAGGCAUGUGCUCUCAACGAGUUGGGGUUAUAACAAUUUCCUCCUUCUUGUAUCUCCGAGCAGUCUGCUCCACCGAUCCCACAUGCAUAGUCCAAAGCCGCUUGUAACGCCAUUUUUGCAACGUUCUCUCUAGCAACGCACCAGCUCUGAUCACCUGGAUAGGCUACACCGUGUGGUGGCGAUGGAAUCGUUAGUGGCGUUGUGGCCACCGCGGAAGCGUCAGAGUCGGAGUUAGGGACCACGGUUGUUGGUGUGGUGGUUGGGUUUGUGGCUAAUGGUGUGGUUAUGUCUUUUUCUUCUUCUAUUGGUUCAAUACUAGCUUUUGUACCUGUCAAAUCAUAGUUAAUGUUUUUAUUCAUUGAUUAAGAUGUUGAAAACAUUAAUAAUGAUGUCUAAGUAUAAGAUUUGGUUGGUAAAGUUAGAACACUUAAAUGUCAUGUCUCUAACAUUUGUUUCACCAAUUUGUAAUUAUAUAAGUGGAUACAAAAUUUAAACCGUGGUAAAGAAAACAAAAAGUAAAAAAACGAAGACCAAACCAUAGAAACCAAAAACAAAAAGACAAUAGAGAAUCUUUGAACUGAACAAGAAAAAGUAACGACUAGAAUAUUUGGACUCCACACCAAUUCACGUGUAAGAAAAAAAAAAAAAAAAAAGCAACUUCGUGUUUUUGUUUUUUUGAAAUUGCAGAAGAAUUACCUUUUCAGAGUAUUAAUAAUAACGAAAAGAAAAACACGAACCUCGAAGAAUAUAAACGGAAAAUGGAACUUUACGUAAGAAAAUAUUUUAGAAAAUAAUAACAAACUCUGUAGAAGAAAAACAAAACUAACUAAGACAUGGAUCAGAGUUUAAAAGAACAACAAAAAAUCCCUUAGACAUAGAUUAACUUUCCGCAGCUUUUAAAUACCAAACUUCAAGUUAUUAAACCUUAUUUUAUUUUUCUUUUGAAUAAACAAAAUUUCAAGUUAUGGGUUAUAUAUUAAACAGACUUAAAAAAUAUUUUUAAUGUGACUACUUUUCUGGAACAAAAGUUUUCAUCUUCUUUGAAUGAUGGGUUGAAAUAUGUAACCUGAGCUGAAGAGGAAGGAGAGAAGAAGAAGACUGGUUACUAGUCUGAAGCCUUUUCCCAUUCCAAGAAGCUAAACCCAAACUCUUCUUCUCUCUAAAAGCUCUGAAUCGUCCCCGUCUUUUGUCAACGAAUCUUUCAACGAUAUUAGUAAGGGCGUGAGGGAGAGAAAGAGAAGCUAUGUGUUUAAAACUUGAGUUUAUGGAGUUGAAAAAGGAGGGAAGAGUUCUGGAGAAAUCAAGGGAGAGAGAGAGAAGUAAUGAUUUGUUUGGGAUUUAGGUUUUUGUGGGCAAUGUAUAAUGUAAUGUGGGCUACUUCUAGUGAGUGAUGUUAGUAAUGAUGGUUUUUCUCUCACACUUUUGAUUCUUCUAUUCCCUGGUUCCUCCUUUCUUUACUUUUUUUUUUUCAAUCACAAUAAGGACUUUUCCAUUAGUUUUCUUUCUUUCUUGAACCUAUACAUAAGCAUAAAUAAUUGGGUCCCUAAAUAAUUUGCCGCUAAAAUAAGCAUAAACAAUUUGAGUAGUGGGCCUCAGAUAGCUAAAAGAUAUAAAUUUAACUAAAGGUUUUAACAUAAACAACAACAACAAAAAAAAAAAAAAACUAGAGACUUAAACAAAAGGGAGAAUUUGCCAAGUGGUAAUAGUCUGAGAUUUUAGUUUGGUAAAAGACAGAACAGUACUUGCCGGAAAAGAGAUCUAUACUGUGUAUGUAAUAACGAUUAAACUAGCUAUAAAUGAUUACUAAUACACUUAAUGAUAUGAUAUAUAUUCAGUCAAUUUGAUAUUUUGGAUGAUCACAAAAAGUUGGUUACAAAAGAAAAUGACAAACUUCAAAUAUUUAAAGUCGCAGAGGUUGAAGUUUAUCGAAGAUUUAUGAGUUGUGGUCAUAGUCAAAAGGAUGUCUCAGAUUAUGAUAACCUAGAAAGUUAAAACAAUAAUAAUGAAUGAAAUUCUGAAAAAAAAAAUAGAUUUUAUACUCAUUACACAGCCACAAAGUUCAGUAAUUAUAACAUUUUUAGCUAGGAUUUCAUAGUGCUAAUAUACGUAUGAAAUAAUAUUGAUCGGUCAAACUAUGCCAUCCGAGAAGAUCUGAAGAUUGCACGUCUAAAAAUUCACCUGAUCCAAGUUGCCAAAUUUUGUUAUACAUGGAUGUGAAUUUUAUUGAAGGUAACUCUACUCAAAAUGUUACGCCAGCCACCCCCACAAUUACGGCUUUUUGAUAGCUUCGACCUAAAAGAUAUACUAUAAUAUUUUAUUUUGUUUAGUUUCAACCUUUUAGGAUUUUGUAAGAUUUUUAGUAUAGUAUAUUUAAUUUUCUACUUUAGUAAAUUAGUAUAUUCUCUAUUUCUUUCCGGUAAAUCUAUCGAUAACUCCACGAGUUCAAAAACCUUGAUGACUUCCACAUUCUUACAGUGACGAGUUUCUUGUGUCAUCGACGAGUUUCUUGUGUCAUCGUCGUUAUUUUCAGUACGUCACUUUCUCAUUCCACAUCGAUAUUCGCCUACAAUUGGAUAUAAUGGAAUGGUUCAUUUAUUAUAUAUCAAUAAUUUAUGUUUAUAUGUCUAAUUUGAAUUGUCACACACAAAAACAAAUGUCCAACUUGAAUUAAUCCCGCCAUGCAUGCAUGAUCCAUGAGAUCUACUCUCUUAUCUAUGUUUGAACUUAAGCGCUCUUGCUUUGUUAAAGCGAUUUUCAAAGAAAAAAAACGAUAUUCAUUCUUGAAAUAAAAAGUAAUUUGAAGCAACAAAGUUUGAUGUAACUUAUCAAAAAAAAAACACAAAAGUUUAAUGUAAUACCGAAUUUGAAAUAAAGGCUAUGAUUGGUAACCAAUUUUAAAGCUGUACAGCUUUGACAGUUACCAAUCACAAAAGCUUUAUGAAAAGCGGUACACUAAAAAAAAAAAAAAAAAAAAAAAACUGUUUUUUUGGACAAAAACAAAAAUAAAUUAAAACGGUUACGGUUAAAUACAGUUAUGGACGGUUACGAUUAAAUACGGUUAUAACGGUUACGGUUAAAUACGGUUAUAACGGUUACGGUUACGGUUACGGUUACGUUUACAACGGUUACGGAUAAUUAUGGUUAUAGUUAUUUGAUGACUACAAUACGGUUAAUAUCGGAGGCGAAAUCUUACGAGGUACCUAACUUAUUAUAAUACUUUUCAUAAAAUCAAAAUGUAUGUUACAAACCAAAUUUUCUUCAUCUCGAGCAAAAUAACAGUAUAACAUAUUUGUUUGAGAAAAAGAUCAUUUUUUAUAACGUAGAUUUUUUCAUAUGCGGUACCAUUUACUUUUUUGAAAAUCUUAAUCUGAAUAUUCGAUAAUUUUUUUUGUAUUAUAUGGAGUUACAAUUAUAUUUUUAAAGUUUUAACUAUGCGGUUAACCAUAUGGUUAAAUAACGAUUUUCAUAUGUUUACCGUUAAUUAACGGUUACGGUUAAUAUAUAUUUUUAACUGUAAUUAAUUAUUUUUUACGGUUACGUUUUUUAACCAUUUUAUACGGUUACGGUUGAGAAACGGUCCGGUUACGGUACAACAUAUGGUUACGGUUAGCUUUUGGUCAUGCCUAGUAAGCAUGACCAAAAGCUAACCAUAACCGUAUUUUGGAUCGUAACUAGACCGUUUUUCAACCGUAACUGUAUAAAACGGUUAAAACCUAUAAUCAUUCACCGUAAAACUAGAUUAGUUACGGUUAAAAAAAAUAUACUAACCGUAACCGUUAAUAUACCGGAAACGUAUCAAAACCGUUAUUUAACAGUACGAUUAGCCGCACGGUUAACCGUAUUAUUAACCGCAUAAUUAAACUUUAUAAAAUAUAAUUGUAGCUAUGUAUAAUGCAAAAAAAAAAAAGUCUCGAAUGUUCAGAUAAAGAUUUCCGAAAAAGUAAAUAAUACAGUCUAUGAAAAAAUCUCAUUUGAAAUAAUGGUUUUUUUCUCAAACAAUUAUUUUGGAAUGUUAUAUUACUCAAAAUAAAGAAAAUUUUAUUUAUUAUAGGACUAGUAAAUUCAUAUUAUUAUUCUAACAAUAAAAUAUUGUUCAUUCUAUAUAAUCUUAAUUUUCAUAUGUAAUUAUAUACUAAAGUACAUUUCUAUAUAAUUUUUUCUUUCUUUCUAAAUUUUUAAUAUUAUUUAUUAUGUGUACCGCUAUGAUGUUUUUAAUCAUAAUAAAUUUUUAAAAUUUGUUAUGCGUUAUUUUUUUGUACAGCUUUCGUGUUUUAUUCUUUUGUACAGUUUUACACUAUUCCCUAACAGCUAACAGCUCCAGCUAACCGCUCCAGCUAACAGCUAACAGCUUGUUACCAAUCAGACCCAAAAAAGGUAACUAAACGAUAAUAGAAUACUCUUUAGUUUGUUAAAUAUAGCAAAUUGAUUGAUUUAACUUUAUGCUGAUGUAGGACCCAAAUAUGUUACAAACUCAUAACUUUUGACUAAUCUCACACCAACUUUGUGUAUUUAUUAUUCACAUUUAUGUUGUUGUACAUUAUUCAUUCAAAUCCACGUUACUGUCUCAUUCCAACCUCUAGGUAAUUAACUAGGGUUAAUUUAAUAUAAAUACAUAGAAGAAUGAAAAAUAAAGAAACUAGCCAUCAUUAAUUAUUAUUUAGUUCUCUCUCUUCCUUUUUUCAAAAAUGCUAAAACUACCCCUUCUUAUAUAUAUACGUUAACAAAAAAGAUAACGAGAUAAACAUUUUAGUUGGAUUCCGACAAUAGUUCUGGUCAAAUUUUCGGUAAUGAAUCAGUUUCUAUUUUAGAUAGUUAAUUAUUUUGUUAGCAUGAUAUCUAUUUUUUGUUUAAUAUGUUAAAUAAUUUGAUAUCGCGAUAAAUUUACACAUUAUAUAUUAAAUAUGUUUAUUGAUUUAAAAUUGUGAAUCAAUAUUUUAUUUAUUUAUGUAUAUAUAUAUAUCAGUUCAAUGAAAAACGAUUAGUCUUUCUUUUACAUGAUUAACAUGAUAACAUUUAUAACAACAUGUUAUAUAUAAUGUUAACGAGCUAACAUAUUAAAUAUCCGAAUAAUAUUUGUAUGAACAUGGUAAGAUAGUUUAUAUAUGGAUAAUAUCAAUAUUAACGUGUAACUUAUAAAUAAUAUUCACCAAUAGAUAAUUGAUAACGAGAUUAGCAUGAUAACAAAAAAAAUAACCGGUUUGUUUUACAUCUGCUCACCAACGAAGUAGGCUGAGAAGACGGCGACACUUAUAUGAAGCCUAGGAAAAGCAUGUCCAAUUGGAUUCGAAAGCAACAUAUGCUUUUUUAUACAUCUCUUCGCCUUGUCGGAAGAACCCAAAAGCUUUAUCAUUUUUUCAGGAUGAAUCUUGACCGUCCGUUAUCUCUUUCGUGUUUGCCUCCGAACUCUUGAAGAAACACAACAAAAUUGUCGGAAAAUGCAUAUCAUUGAUGAUGAUAAUAACAUACAUAGUAAGAGAUGCAAAGCUUAUUCGACGACAUUGAUGUUUUGUUGGAGAGAUGAUGGAGGUGAUAAGAGAAGAGACGUCGGAGGAGACACUGAAAAAACAUGAUCGAAGAAGAGAAAAACCUAUACUCAUUUUUGAUCUUCAUCUCCCUUAAAUCGAAAACCAGUCACCUUAAUCUUUGACUUCGCCGAAUCAAAAUUACCACGGUCAAAAGUACCACCCUCUCGAAACCAUGAUUUAAUUUACCGUCACAAUGGAGCCACACAACUCACUCGUUUUGCUUCUCCAGUCAGUUUCGGUUCUCCACCAAAAAGAUUUCUCAAUUUCACCACUUGUGUCAAUAUUAAUUGUGGUUUUGUUGGUUUCGUGGAGAAAGAAAGAAAGAGGAGAAGAUAAAGAGAAGUGAUAAGAAUGUCUUAAGGGUGCUAUUGUCUUUUGUAUAUACACAGUAAAUGUCAAAUAGUGUGGAGGAGAGAGAAUUAAUUAUUGAAUCUUUCGUUGGCAUUUCUUAUAGAUUUCCUUUAACUAUCUAUAGUUAUAUUUAAAAAAAUUUAGACCUUUAUUAUUAAAGUUUGUAUCUUUAUUUGCAGUGGAUGCGGAAUUACCUUGUUGAAAAGUUGCGGUAAUAUUUGCAAUAUUAUAAGGUUAAAAUGUGCAUUUAAUUUAGAGAAUUGAUAAAGUAACCAAAGAUACAACUUUCGGUGUUGCAAAGUAAUGAUAAGAAAAGAAUAAAAUUGGUUCACUGUUUCUUCUCUUUAUUUGAGUAAUAAUAAGGUACGGAAUGAGGAAUUCACAUGAAUAUGAGAGCAAGUGGGGCACGAAUUGGUUAGCAACAACAUAGGAAAUGAAAAAAUAGUUUAUUUCGGGCCGAAUCUAUCCAAAUUUAGAUUGAUAUAAAUCUCAUGGUUGUAUGAAAAGAAUAUAUCACUCCUUUUUUGAACUGAAUUAUUUUUAAAGAGUUUUCAAUUUUCAUUAAAGAAUUGUGUGGAUACAAACUUUGGAUCGACAACUUCAGGUUUUACAAAAUCACCAAGAGAAGCUAAAUUUUUCCAUAGAGGAGGUUUUGUAAAUUAUUGUGUUUAUUAAAUGAUCUAAUGGUAAUUUAGGUUAGGUGGAAAGCGAAUAAUGUCUCUUUUAUAUUUUAAACACAGAGAAAUCUGGUGGGAGUAUGUUGUAUCUUUUAGAUUUUACUACUAAUGCAACUUUCGUUCCAGUUUUCUAUUGUAACCAUGUAGACAGAAAUAUAAAUGUAGCUCUAGUGAAAGUGUCAAAAUGGUUUAAUAUGUCCGCUAAGGAAUGCACACUAGUCGAAAACGUCAAAGACUUGCUAAUUGAUUGUAUUUUUUUUGUCAAAAAGUAUGUAUGUCUAUAAAUCUUCAAUUAUUUUUAUCUUAGAAAAUAAUAAGUCAAGAGUGAUUUUAAAGAUCCCUAUUAUCCAAUACGAAAAGAAUUUGUUACAUCGUAAGUUCCCCUAAAAACUCUAUGAUAUUUGUUAUAGACAGAGUCAAACGAAAGUUCUUAACCUCUUAUGCUACAUCUUUGGAUACAACUAAAUCUUCUUGCACUCUUUUAAAAACGCAUUUCGUAAAACAAAAAAGAUAAAUGAGAAUGCAGAAGCUUGAGAUCUUACUGUUUCACACUCUCAUUGAUUCAUCAUCUUUAUCACCACAAAGACUCAGAGUGAUGAACAGAAUCAUAUCAUCACAAGGAACAGAAUUGAUCCAGCACAAACUCUCUCAACACACUUCCUUCUUCGGCAUCAAGCUAUGGAUCCUCAUUACAGCUUCUGCCUCCAUAGCCUUCCUCUUAGUUCUCAUCAUUUCUGUCCUCCUCUGUUUCAUCUUUCACAGGAGAAGGUGUAGACAAGAACCAUUCAGACUAAGAUCAAAGCUUUGUCUGCCUUUAUCACACAUUCCCAUAAAUAACAAACGACAGAUUCCAUACAACCGUUGCGGCGAUGAUGUAGAGAGCCAGAGAAUCUCUCAGGUUGGUUGGUCCUCUGCUCAUCUUUCCUACUACACACGCAGCUUCUCCUCUACCGGCAGCUUUGGAAGCUUCAAUGUGUUUACGUUCUUGGAGAUCAAGAACGUGACAGAUAGUUUUGCAGAUUAUAAUCUGAUUACUACAGGAGAUUCUUCAACGGUGUAUCGCGGAAUCUUGAUGGGUACAGUCACUGUUGCUGUCAAACGGUUCUUCCCCAUCCAUCAAAGGUUUUUACAUUUUUGCUUGACCCCUUCAUAUAUCUUAGAAUCUUAAUAUUUUUUGAUCUGAGAUCCGAGUAAAAAUCAGGUAUGAAGAUAAAGAUUUCAUAACAAAAGCUGAGAUGAUUGCAAAUGUUAGACACAAGAAUGUUGUGAGACUUCUUGGAUACUGCAUUGAAGGAGAUGAGAGGUAUAUAAAUAUAUUACCUCUGAUGUGUGACUUGCGUUAGAAUGUAGACUCAUAGUUAAGUCUGAAUAAAUUUUAGGGUUCUUGUUUAUGAAUACGCUGAGAAAGGCGAUUUGCACGAAUGGCUUCAUGGAUCUUCCGGGAGAAAUCGGCCUCUGACCUGGAGGAAGAGGAUGAAGAUCAUUCAAGGAGUAGCAAAAGGGUUUGAUAUGAUCAUGACACAUUUUGUUUUCUUGAUUUCUUUUAUGUAUGAAUGAUUGUGAUGGUUUAAUUAUCUUUUUGUUUUGAUCAGCCUCGCGUAUUUUCACGAGGACAUAGAACCAAAGAUCACUCAUCAAGACAUAAGACCAAGCAAGAUUCUUCUUGAUUAUCAAUGGAACCCUAAGAUACUUGAUGUUGGAUUCAUUGGUCACAGUGAUAUUCCAACUUCGAUUCCUUCACCUAGUAAUCUGGAUGAGAAAAUCGACGUUUAUUCCUUCGGGACUUUGAUAAUGGAGCUUGUCUCUGGAAGAGUCUCUGUAGACCAAAGUUCACCACAUGUGAGAGUUCAUAUACAUAAUACAUAUUUUAUCACAAAGCCAAUGUUAGCUUACCGGAAACAAUGUUGUUCUUGGCAGGUUUAUCUAGUGGACUGGAUCAAAGAGAUGGUGGCAAAUCAUAUGAUAGUAGAUGUUCUUGAUCCUAGCCUUCCCGAAUUUCCUACAAUAAAGGAACUCAAACGGAUUGUGUUGAUUGCCUUGCGCUGUGUCGAUCUCGAGGUAGAAGAGAGACCUAAAAUGGGAGAUGUGAUUCACAUGCUCCAACCACAUGACUUGCUGUUGAGUAACAAUGUAAUAAAACUUUUGACAUUUAGUUUCUUGUUCCCCAAGCUAAAAAGAUAGUAAUCCUUAUUUUGUUCUUUCUCUGAUGCCAGGCAAUACAGAAGCCUCAGAAGGUUACCCGGUCACACGAGGUUUCUGCAGUAAGUAUUAGACAAUGAGUCCCAAGCAGCAAUAAAUGAUUGCUAACUUAAGAUCUUCUGCUAUGUAUUUUAUGUUACAGCAGUCUCAGUUGUAUUGAUUUGUUUUGCAUCCCUUAUUCGAGUUUAUGUAGGAUUUUGCUUAUUGUAAUUGCAAGAGCCAACUUUGUGACGUAUUUUACAAGCAUAUUAAGUCAAGGCUCUGAAACGCAGCUUGUUAUAUGACUUCUCUAUAUACCACAUGUGUUGCUAUUGAAGAAGGUUGAUGCGGGAUGGUAAUCAAGAAGAUAAAUUUCUUCAACCAUAUAUGUAGAGGAACACUAACAAAAUAGAAACAAAUUAUAAUUUCUAUAAAGUAUUAAACAACGAUUUCAUAAUCUUGGUUUCCAAAGAACUUGAAUAACAAUAUAAAAACUAUAGAAUAAUGAAGUUUGAAGCCUAAUGACAUAUAUGAUCCUUACUAUAGAUCAGAGAUUGAUUACAUCUUGAAAGGAGAUCACAGUCUUGAAUUGAGUGGAGAAAAGAAGCUGAGAUGAUGGUGAAACCCUAUACAUAGAUUCUAACUCUUUUCUCAUCCGCCUUUCAUCUUCACCAGAAGUAGUUGAUUCAAUGGAGAUUCUAGCUCUUUUUAAACACUUAGAGUUGGCCAGUAUAUAUUUUACGACUUCUUUCUCUUCGUAAUGUCCUCCAUAUUGUUUCCACUCAAAGAUCUCAAGAUGGGCUGAUAAACACUCUGGAAAAGAACUUUGUCGGUUGAACAAACGUGGGAAACCCUCAUGUCGUAUAUUUGACUGUGAAGCAACAUUAAAGAAUGAUAUUAAUAUGAUGUAACUAAUAUGUUUAGUUCAAUUGAAAUUUAUUUGUCCAUCAAAACUGUAUGUGAGGGGGGUACGAACCGUGUCGAUGCGAAGAACUUUUAGUUUAGGAGAAUUUUGAAGAAAAUGCAUGAAUGGUUCCAACCAUUGUAUCCGAAUUGGACGAAUAGUACACGUUCUAAGCUGGGAGAACUUAAUGGAGGUACAAUACGGAUCCUGCAAUGAACAUAUAUAACAACAAAUAAGUAGACUUUGGAAAUUUGAUCAUCAUAAUAACAAUAAGAUCAAUGAAUAAAAAAAAAAAAGUGAGCUUGAAAUUAAAGGCACUAUGCGUACAGUUUUAGAUCUCAAAUAUAACUUGAGAUACAUGACGGAGGAAAGAGAUGCCAUAAACUUGUCAUCAAGAUAACAAUUUAAGCCAACAAGGGCAUAAUCAAGGCGAGGUUCGUUUUCAAUGGAGCAAGAGUUUCCCGAAUGAUCUUGGAUGAAGAGUUUUCUUAAAGUUGCAGAACCAAUAACCAAAGAUCCAACAUUCCCUACUCCUAGUUUCAAGUAAAUAUAACAUAAGGUCUCUAGAGAAGGCACGUUCACACUAAACAUUGUCACGUUGUCUUGGUCAUGUCUUUCUACAUAUAAAUGCUUGAGAAUACGACAACCUGAUAAAAACCUAACAAGAGAAUCUUCAUCUUUAUAUACGACAGACUCAAGGGAAAGAGUUUUUAGGGAUGGGAGGCAAACUGGAGAAGGAACAUCCACGAGAAUCUUGUCGGAAACGUAAAGAGAAACAAGUUUAUCGCAUAUGUAAAAGCUCUCCGGCAAGCUGAUAGGCUUUGACAACUAGCUGAGCUUGAACCGAAGCUUAUGCGCCCUGCACUUAACUACAUUGACAAGAAACUUUCCAACAUCAUUAUCAGGACAUCUUGCACCGAGUUCUAUAAUCAAGCUUUCUAUUACAGGAGCCUUAUGAAGUUGCAAUGACUGGUCCAUAAACCACCAAACACUUCCUUUCUUUCGAUGAUUAUAGUCACUAUCCAUGUACGUGAGUUGUGGUACCAUCUUCCAAAUAGAUUGCCAUCGUUUGGACAAAAGCAUGGUAACCACUGCAUCCUCUGUAGAGAGAUACGACAAUAUCUUGAUGAGCAAAUCAUCGGGUAAUUCACUAAUCGUCGUCCCAACCAUUGGUGCAGCUUUGUCCCAACCUAUCAUCUUAUUCUCAAUGACGAAGCUGUACCAAUGUUUUAGGGUUAAUAAAUUGAAUUUGCUUAAAAUCUGUUUGCCGUUUAGUGUUGAUUGUUUUUAAUAACUAUGUAUUUAAUGCGAUAAUUAUGAAAUUAUAUUAUAUUUAAGAAUCUGCCAUCAAAAUUGAUUUUUUUUUUUACUUUAUGUAUUAUAUGAUGAUUCAAAACAGUUAAAAACAAAUCAAACAAAGAUGAUAGGAAAAUCAUAAUUAUAAAUCUUAAUCAAAUCUUCUAAAUAUCUAAAUUAUUAAAUAUGGAAUAUCCGGUGUAUGAGUUGGGUUAAAUAUAACCCGAUCCAACAAAUUUUUUGUGAAGGAAUUUUAAAAACAGGUUUGGUAUCCGAUAUACCCGUAAGCAUUUUUACCUACCCGUCACCAAAGUGUUGCAAAAAUACUAGUAUAGAUAUUUAAAACGUUUAAUAAAGUUAAACUUUUUCUAAGUAAAUUCAUAAAAUUAUUAUAUAAAUGUGAUCAAAUUACAUAUAUAUAUUUUGUUUUUAAAACAUUCCUAUUGUUGAUCGUUGCUUAAGUAGUACACCACAUUACUCUUUCUCCAAUAAUACUUUCACGCUUAAAAAAUGAGAUCAAAUCAAAAGAGGAUUGCUAUAAACUUCUACUUUCCUGCAAGAAAAAAUAAACAAAUUAAAUUAAGAAUUAUAUGGGUGAAAUUAAAUAAAUAAAUCAAAUUAAAUAUUGUUACGAUCUAUUUUAAGCAAUCUAUAUUUAUGUCAAUGAAUAAAAAUUAAUUAUUUGCUAAACUGAUUCAAAAUUGAUUUUCAAAUUAUUAUUCUUUCCAAAAUCUUAACUAAAGAUUUGAGCAUUAAACGUUUUUAAAAUGUAUUUAUAGUAAGUGAUUAAUUUUUCCUAAAAUUUCUAUAACAGUUGUAUGAAAUUCAGUUAGUUGUUUAGGCAAAUAAUUAAUGGAUUAAGAUCAACGUGAUUAUUGCUAANNNNNNNNNNNNNNNNNNNNNNNNNNNNNNNNNNNNNNNNNNNNNNNNNNNNNNNNNNNNNNNNNNNNNNNNNNNNNNNNNNNNNNNNNNNNNNNNNNNNUAUAGUAGAAUUUAAAAGAACAUAGAUGAGAUAAGAUAUGUGAUAUUAAUUAGUUUAGAUUGUGAAUAUAUUCGAAAUCAAUUAGAGAAUAAAGUUAUUAAGUUACGAUUAAUGUGGCAAUUAGUUUAGGUAAUAAUAACAAACUGAAUUCUGCGAAUGGUAAAUGCUAAGUAUCCGGAGAUGAUUAAUAUGGAAAUAGUAUAAGAAUAAGUAGAUGAAUUAAAGACAACAUGACUUCAUUUAUCAGUUUGAAAUUAAGACAACAUCUCUAAAAUUGCUUAUCCAAGAUCCGAAUAGACUAAAACCGGGUCAAACCCGGAUCCAAAAGAAUUAAAGCAAAAAAGUACUGUAAAAAUGUGUAUGUAGAUACUGUUUUUUUUUUUAUGACCAAUUAUUAGAUUUAUAAAAUCGGUCAGUUCCAACAACCGGUAUACGAGUAAACCGGGAUUAUAAGUGUUCUGAAGCUUCUACACCAAUCACCAAACACCUCUCCUCACGAAGAUCUUCAGCUUCAAGGACUUUGAAUCGUCGAAUCUCUCUAUUAGUUAUGAUCUCCAACUGAUUCUAACUGGGUAAUUUUCAAAAACUUGAAAAUUGAGUGUUUCCGACCGUCGAAUCGGAUUCGAUGAACUGGGUUCAACGAAAAAUCUAUCUUUACAACGUCACCUUCGGGCUUUACAUGCUUGAUUGGUGGGAACGAUACCUAUUCAGUAUCCUUUUCUCUAUGAUCUAUCUGAUCUAUUUGAACUCUUGUUGCGAAUCUUAUCUUAUUCGGUUAAAAGUUUGAAUUUUUGGGCCUGAUUGGAAGGAGCUUUAGAUGCUGUAGAAAGCCAACUUUUCUUUCUAAAGCCAAAUAGCAAACCAAUCAUUCUUUUACUUCAAAAAAAAAGCUACAGCACACAAAAUAAAAAAAAGGAAAUAUAUGGGCUUUGUAAAUCAAAUUUUCUACAGCACACAAAAAUGAGCUUUGGGAUAUUUUCUCGUUCUUCUCUCUACGGUUCUUUCCUUCUUCUGCUUUCUCGCUUUUUUUUUGGUUAUAAUAUAUUUCUAAUAUUUAUUUAUUUCCAAAAAUUUAAGUUUACAUAAUAAAUACAUAAAGCUACAACAUACAACUAAAAUUUACCAAUCAUACUUUUAUUUUAAAACUCACAGCUACAAUUCUACAGCUACAGCAAGAAAAUCCACAGUCUAAAAUCUACAGCAAAAAAUCUAGAGCUACAGCCGUAACCAAUCAGGCCCUUUAUUUGUUCAGCUUCUUUAGCUACGUUAUCUUUUGUUAGAAAAUUUUCAUUUUGAGAUAGAAUUGAGCUAUUCUGGAUUUGAUAAUGUUAAUGAAGUUUCAAAAUUUAGAAGUUUUGUCCAGCAAAAACAAAAACCAGAACUCUUGCCAUUUUCCUUAACUCUAUUUUUUUUCCCAGAUUCUUUGGUGAUAAUCUUGAUGUGGUUUAUUCUGUACAAUGGAUCUCGCUAUUUUUCAGAGCUCUGCAAGAGGUAAGUUUAAUGAUAUUUAUGUGUAGCUUUAUUUUGAUUUAGGCUUGGGAUUUGUCACCAUCUCAAUUCCUAGAUAUACUUAUAUGUUAUACUAGUUUCUAUCUCUAGUUAGGUGUGUAUAUGUAUCUAUGUUCUAUUGAUUUAGAUAUCUAUAGGGUUUUAUUUGUUUGUGGAUUUUACAUCACAUUUGAUAUUAUAUAUCAUCCGAUUGUUGGGAACUACAUUGAAUAUAUAUGAUAUAUGAUGCACUCUAUGCUAUCUCUUUGCUAAGUUAAAUCCUUAUAAAAAGAUAUUGUGAUGUUCCUUUGAUCUUUGUGCUUAAAACGGAUUUAGAGGGUUGCGAGAGUUUGCUUACGUAUUCGAAUGUCUAAGGCAGAGCGAUUUCAAUCCAUCUGCUUAAUUCCUCAUUAGGCUUCAAUAAAUGUAUAUGGCUAUUGUUAUUGAAGGUCAAUUGAGUUUUCUAGUUCGAAUUGCCAAAUUAACAUAAAGUGCGUCUAUGACCAUGACCGAGUUACAAGAAGAUGAUUCUUUGGGAUUUUGAUCUUAGGUUGUGUCAAGUAUGCUCAGAAGAAGCAUCUGAAAUCACUUUCUUGAUAACCCUCUUGCGUUGUUAUUCACUGCUUAAUUAUGUUAAAUCCUUCCAUAUUCCACAAGCAUCUUUCAUGAAACCAGGUCAUAGUCAUCACGCCAUGGAAGCAUGAAACCGACAUGGUUAUCUGAGACGUAUGCCAACAAACUCCUUUGUUCUGCUUUGCACCUCCUUCUUUGGCAUAAUUUCUGAUCAUGUAACUGUUCAUAUAUCAUUUAUUCCCAUGUAUUUUUUGGAAUGAACUUCCUUUGUUCGAUUCUACUUGCUUCUACUUCAAAUUUUGAGACAGGGCCAAAUCAACUACUUGCAUCUUUUGAUGUUUAGAGUCCAUGAACUCAAAAAUUUUAGGUGUUUUGUGGGCACUUAAAGCUUAACGAAUAUGAUAUAAUCUCCAUUUUGUUUUCAUUGAUCUCCUGAUGUUGUAGUAGUUCAAGUUCCGAAUUCUGGAUUCGAAAGAUUUUGUGUCCUCUGUAGUGACGGGUUUCUAAGAAAGGAUACAUGUCUAUGUGCGAAGGAGAGUCCAAGAUUUUUCAUUCUAGUCCAUAAUUGUCCCAGGGUACAAACAAAAACAAAUGCAAAUCAUCCCAAAAUGUUUCAAAACUAUACUUAUAUGCAAACCACAAGAAAGAAGCAAAAAGCUAUAGAAUUUUUUGCAAAUAUGUAGCAACUAGCAACGUAUCGAGCAAGUUACUGUGUCUUGUCUUUUCACCAAACCUUUAUAAUUGUGGCAUUGCUUAUGGCAAUAGCCGAUUUUGUCGUUCGGUAUUGUAAAUAUUUGAUUUUCUUCGAUUAGGAGUCCAUUACAUUUUAACCAAGAUAAAUCAUAUAUUAUAUAUAUAUAUAUAUAUAUAUAGAGAGAGAGAGAGAGAGGUGAAUUAAGAAAGCUUACCUUCGUUUGGGAUAUAACGAAAUGAAAAUUACCUUAAACCGCAGUUGCUCGAGUUAAACCGGAAGAAUAACCUUUAACCGGUGUUGCUCGAGUCAUAGAAAAUAAAUGUUCUUUAAGGAAACGAAAUUCAAAAUAAAAACCGGACGAACCACCUUAAACCGGUGUCCCAGCUUCACAAUCUAGAACUAUGCCAUGUGUGUACAACUGUACAAAACUGGGCAUUUGAAUUUUUAUUUUCUGAAACGGAUCUUCUUUUUCAAAUUUUGAAUUCUCUAUUUAACGGAAGCAAGUGGUCGUUAGAAGAAGAAGAUCGUAAACAAAUCUCUCUCUCUCUCAUUUUUGUGAAACCCUAAAUUUUCUGUUUUUGCAAAAUGUCUAAAGAAGUUGAGUACCGGUACUUUUUUUUUCUCUGGCGAUCAAAAACUAGAAAGGGCGUGUUCUCUCAAUUCGGCUAUGGUUAUCAAUUCUAAGGUUAGUUGCACGAGAAAUCAAACUCCCGGAUUUUGGGUUCCGAUAAUUCUGAUUCUAAAGAUUGGUCUGUUUAUGAAUUGUGUUUCUCUAUUCCUUGACUCGAUUAUUGUUACACGUGAGAUCAAACUUCCCGAAUUAGGGUUUCGUCGAGGCAAUUCCGAUAAUCGUGAAAUGUUUAUGAAUUGUGUUUAUCUGUUACUUGAUUCGAUUAUUGCUAUUUUUACUUAAUUUAUCCCAAUCGGUAUGUUAAUCUUCCUGUUUUUAUGAGUGGAGAAGAAAAUAAUGAACUAUUAUAACUAAAUUCUAAUAUUGUAAAAAAAUCUGACUAAAUGUCACAAUUAAAUUAGGAAGACAAAUUAUAUAAUAUAAUUUAAAAUAUAGGGAACUUAUGGGUUGAGAAACUCAAUUUCCGUUGUUAAGGAUAGGAUCCAAUAUAGGGAACUGAAUCCUUUAUAUCAAUUCUCUUCGGGUGAACGACAUGUGUCCCCCCACGAAGUUUCAUAUAGUACCAUAACAACAUAGAUUUCGGGUCUCAUCUCCAGUCCACACAAAACGAAAGUUAAACUUCAGUUUCUCCCUAAAUUGAAAGUUCGAGACCUCAGUCUCCAUAUAUUCAAAUUUCGUGGUUUAUCAUUGGUUUACUGUGCCGAACCCGAUGCCAAACCAAAACCCAGAAUAAUAAACCGAUUUAAAACCCAAUUCGAGUUAUCCCAACCCGAAAUAAAUACCGUUUGCAAGAAUCCCCAAAUUGAGAAAUCUUAGAACCCUAAUUUCGAUUUUUUUCUUCUUCCUCUUCGAUUUCAAUUUUGGUCACAAAUCUAUGCUCGAAUAUGAGCAAUUCAUCUAGAGCUACGAGUGGAGCAUCUAGAGCUACGAGUGGACAGAGAAGGAGAGUUGUGGGUGUGCCGAAGAUGUGUUGGUGUCUACGAGUGGACAGAGAAGGAGAGCUAUGAGCAUCUUCUUUGCCAUACCACUUCAAGAACCCAUCCUUUUAAUUGGUUUACAUGGGGGAACCGUGAUUCUCUUCUUGCUCGUGACCAGAAUUCUCUCCUCUCAGAUAUCAAGAAACUCUUCAAUAAUUAUUACUUAGGGGGUGUUAUUGAAUUGAUGAUUUCAGUGUAUUUUAAAGUAACUGAAUUUGAAAGUACUUUAAUGAAUUUUGACGAAUUCAUUGCAAUACACGAUGGAUUUUGAUGUACUUUUAUGUAAUGUGUUUAGAUUAAUUGGUAUGGAUUUUGCCCAGUUCUCUUUUGACUAUAAUCAUCAUCUUUGCAUCAAUAUAAUAAAAAAGAAGAAGAAUAAUAACUGCUCUGUAACAUAAGGAAUCAGAUAUGGUUCAUGCUUGUUCAAGAUGACGGCAACAACGGUUCAUUGUGGACAAGGAUCGAAAUAGCAACAUAAUUAAGGAAGUUCUAGUGUUUAGAGGACAUGAUUUCGACGGAAUAGAAUUUCAUCUUCCUCAGAUCUGAUUUUCUGUUUUUGAAGUUAGGAACCAUGUUCUUCUUCUUCCUCCUUCCCAGCCAAAACCACAUCUCUCACUUACUUAGUGCUUUGGAUUCUCAGUUAAAUGGAAGAGGAAGAAAUAAUUGUGUGAAUAUUUAUUUUUUAAUUUUUUUUCUGUGAAGUACAUCAAAAUCAGAGAUAAAAGGCUCGUAUUUGUAAACGGUAUUUAUCGAAGAGGAAGAAGAGAAAAAUCGAAAUUAGGGUUCUAAGAUUUCUCAAUUUGGGGAUUCUUGCAAACGGUAUUUAUUUUGGGUUGGGAUAACUCGAAUUGAGUUUCAAAUCGGUUUAUUAUUCUGGGUUUGGUUUGACAUCGGGUUCGGCACAGUAAACCAGUGAUAAACCAUGAAAUUUGAAUAUAUGGAGACUGAGGUCUCGAACUUUCAAUUUAGGGGGAAACUGAAGUUUAACUUUCGUUUUGUGUGGACUGGAGACGAGACCCGAAAUCUGUGUUGUUAUGGUACUAUAUGAAACUUCGUGGGGGGGACACAAGUCGUUCACCCAUUCUCUUCUAACACAAAUUUUAACUAGCCCAUGAUUUAUUUCCUCCAUUCCUUCAUCAAGCAUUAUAGUUUCCUCAGUAAACCAAAAUGUAAGAAUAUUUUUGUAAAAAAAUCUCCAUCUAUUUAAUGCAUUUCUAUUGAUUGAAAUAGGAAAUUCAAAAAAAGUGUUUUGGAAUUAUUUUUGUAAAUAUCAUAAAAGAUCCCUCAUUUUUGUUCGUUCAAAACUACCAAAAUAAUCAAUUGAAGGUAUUCAUCAAGAUUACGAAGAAGGAAGUGUAGUCUGUCGUGAAUCUAGUUAGGGUCGGAAGGAAUUGUCAGUUGUAGAAUCGUCUAUGUAACAGUUCUCAUAAUUUGCAAUUAAUAAUAAAUCUAGACGACAAAAAAAAAAAAAAAACUACCAAAAUAAAAUCAUCACCUAUACUAAGAAACUCUCCCAGGCACGGAACCCAAGGCGCCGCUUCAACAACAAAAUGAGCUUCUCCUUCCGACUUCGCUCCUCCGGUCACCUCCUCUUCUGAUUGGUGUUUGGUACUAAGGUGUGAUCUCUCAGGCGAACCUCCGGUGACGUGGCUGUUUUUCCGGCGAGUUUCUCCUGAGAUAAUUCCCUUCCCUCUAUCGGUUUCGAGCCACUCUCGUCGCUUUCCUUUGUCUUCGGUCGCCUUCCUCGAUCUGAGGCCUCCUCCUGCACCAACACCUGAGCCACCGUCUCCGCCGGCUCCACCAAAACCACCGGACCCACCAGACCCUCAGAUCUGCUUCUGUUUUGGUGAAUCUCUUCCUCAGCUGCCAUUUUCCACUUUCUUUAGGGCGUUUGACUCGCUCCUCCCACCCUCCUCUGCCAGAUCUGGCUUUACUUCGCCGGCGAGUCUCCCUAUCCUCCCUACAAAGGCACUCGUUUUCAUGGGACUGUUACUUCCCGUCGAGUCUCCCUUUGCAAUAUGGUUUGGAAAGCUUGGUGCUCGUCUCUGUCCGGCCACAACCCUUUUCAGACAGGUGGGCUAUGUCGCUGACGCCCCCACCUUCCCUCCUCAAACGCUUCCCCAGGUAUGCUCUUACUCUUCGCCCUCUAAUCCCUCUGAGAUGGGAAUAUAUUGGAUGUUGAUUGAGUUUGUAGCUCUGGUCUGGUGGCUUUCGGAUCUAGUUCAUCGGGUUUCAAUGAGCUUGGAUACUCUUGUGUAUACCUUUGUGUUCUUUUGUAGCACCCAUAUCGCCUUGGUGCGAUCAAUUACUGCAGUAUGCAGAUUCUGUCUCAAUGUGGUUCUGUUAGAAAGUUGUCUUUUGGCAGCUUGGACAGGGAUCCCUGUUUCAGUACAACUGGCUAGUUAAUCUGGCUCAUUGGGAUUUUACUGCCCUCAUCUCUCCUUCAUGGAGCUUUUUAUCCUCCCAUAUGCUUCACUUGUGUUUAGUGAUAGUGUUACAGGGAGCAAUGUUCUCAAGACUGUUCUACUUGAAGUAGAAGCGAAGAUUGUUGAAAAAGACUGUUUUCGUUCAGCAUUUGCUGACUGUUUGGCGUUAACGACUUUGGAGGCUUUGGUUCCUCCUCCUUGGGGUUUCGACAAGGAAUUUCAAGCGUUCGGAUGCUCUUGUUUAGAUGAUAUCUUGGUAGAACUUGUUAGUUCACCCUUAUCCUUAAGUCUCAAUUUGAGCUUUGUUCUUGUUCUUAGUUUCCGCUUUUACUCGAUCACUAUGUUGGUCGAUGUUUUGGCUUUUUCGACUCUUUGUAGUCAUGUUGUAUCCUCUCUUAAUGGAGGUUAAACUAUUUCUUUAAUUGAUAUUCUAAGUGCGGUCAAAAAAAAAAAAAAUUGAUAUUCUAAGUUUGUCCAAAAAAAAAAAGAAAAUCAUCACCUAUGUAAUUUGCUAAAAAGCCCCUCCGUUAGUUGAUUAAAGAUGAAAACGCAGCGUUUCUAUAAAAACGAGAAAAAUCAAAAGCUCUUGAAUCCUUUGCUCUUCUUCGCUGUGUAACUUGCCUUCUUCUUCAUCGCGAUAACUCCUGUUUCUUCUUCUUCUUCUUCUUCUUCUUCUUCUCCAUCCGAAGCUUCUAUCAAUCCUAACCGAAAAGUAUGAAAUUUAUCUGUAUUUCUUCUCAUUUUUAUGGAUUUAUAUAUUUUAGGGUUUUGUCCGAUUUUAAGAAUUUGAGUUUUGAAUUUAGGGUUGAGAUUGAUGGUGUUUGUAGAAUCGAACGAACUUAUGGUUUGAUUUAGGGUUGGAUUGAGAUAAUUCGUUUUCUUUGUUGUUCACAACUCCCAUUAAUUCAGUUAAAUUUGUUUUGGUUAUUGAUGACUGGCCAGAGACGCAGGAGGGAGAGACCAAUCGCCGUUUUUUUCUAAACACUAUCCGAAUCUUGAGAAUUGAAGAUUGGGAACACCGAGUGGACACGGUAGAGAGAGAAGGCUGUGAAUUUUCAAAGCUCUCAGCUUGAAACUAUUCUUCUCUGUUCCUGACUUGGGUUUAAGUCUUUGGGUUGUUCUUCUUCCCGACGACGGUGUGGAGAUUAUAAAGCGAUGAAUCUUUCCACGAGGCUCGCUGAGAAACUUCCUGGAAUCUUACCGGCGCCGUCGUCUCCUAUCCUGCGUAAAGGUUGGUUCUUUCAAUCUGUUCUACGUUUGGUUCACGACUUUUUGGAAAUUGCUUGUUUGGUUUGGAUUUAAUUCAAAGGAACAAUCUUUCUGGGGUUCUCUUAGUCUCUUUGAUUUGAAGGAAACUUCCGUGUUCAGUGUCUAUCUACCUCUUAUCUGUUAUUAUCUACCCUAAUUAGGUCAUAAGGUUCAAUAUCGAAUUUAUCAAUUCUUUCUUCUCAUGUGUGUAUUAGGAGUCUCCGAGUUAAGAUUCUUUUCAAUUGCUAACCAUAGUAGAAGAUUGAGAUGGGGACUACAGAAGAAGAUGGUAUGGAGUUUGGAGAGAGCUGAAACCUGUGUAGUUAGCAAUUCAUGUUUAGUUCAUCCUGCAACUGAAGCCUAUGCACAAGAAGCUAUUGAAGCAAUUAAAUCCGAUAAAGUUAUCGCUGUCCCAACCGAUACUCUUUAUGGCUUCGCUUGUGAUGCUUGGUAAUUUUGAAAAGUCUUCACUUUAUUAGCUGAGAUUAGCUUUUACAUUGCCUGGACUAAGUUGUGAUUAUGUAAUGUGACAGUUCUUUAGAAGCGGUUAACCGAAUAUAUGAGAUCAAAGGGCGUAAACUUACAAGCCCUUUAGCCAUAUGCGUUGGUGAUGUAUUCGAUAUCAAGAGAGUUGCUACUACGAAUCACUUACCUCACGGUUUACUUGAUUCUCUCUUGCCCGGUCCAGUCACUCUCGUACUUCAUCGAGGUUUGUAUCAUCUUCUUAAUUUGGUUGCAUUGAUAUGAUCUCUUUAUGUGAGAGUGUUCUUGUAGUGGUUUUAUACAGGUGAAUCAAGCAUUCUUGAAAAGUCCUUGAACCCGGGGAUUGGUACUAUUGGAAUACGGGUUCCUGAUUGUGAAUUCAUUAGAGAAGUAUUGAGAGGUUCGGGCAGUGUGUUAGCUCUUACAAGUGCUAAUCUAAGUGGGGACAGAAGCAGCGUUUGUGUUAAUGAUUUUGAGAAACUUUGGCAGGAUCUACAAUUGUCGAUCUGACUAAAGUCGGAAAGUAUAAGAUAAUUAGACCCGGAAGGUAUACAAAGUGUUGAUCAUUAAUGCAGAUUAAUGGAUUUAAAGUUUGAAUCUUUGUGGGGUUCUUGAGCUAAUUACUUAAUAAGAUGUUGUUUUUGUUGUUAAUUCAGUGCUAAGCAAGCAACAGUGGCAAUCCUUGAGAAGUAUCUGCUGGAAGAAGAAGACUCUUAAGAGAAGAUAUGUGUAGUGUAAUACGAGAAGACUGUUGUGUUUGAGCGCAUGCUAACUCCAAUUUUUGGUGGUACGCUUGUGUAAUAUAGAGGGACUUGGGGGACCGUUUCAUAAUAAUUUACUUGAAGGUUCUUAUUAUUGGUCCAUUUGGAAAAUGAAAUUGUGGAAAAUCUAGUAGUCAGUCUUGUUGUUCUUUUAUCUUUAUCCUCUUCAUUCUUUCUCUAAUUCGACUUUUCAAUUUCAGUAUGAGCUUCUUCUAUCUAGAAGAAACAAGUUAUUUUGAAGAUUUUACUAAAGAUUAAGAACUAUUUAUGGAUCUCUUUUCUCUAUUACUUAUUGGAAAAAGAAUGAAAUAUAUUUAUUUUCUCCAUAUCGUUUUGUAAAAACAUGUCAUUAUCAGAGAACGUGCAAUUGUUUUUAAAAAAGAGUUAAUUCGGGGUUUAAAAAAAAAAAGAAUUAACAGAGGAAGUUUUGGUCAAUGUUUAAAGUUACAGGGUGAAAGUGUAAAGAGAAGAUAAAUAGAGGAUCUCAGUUAUUCAAAUUUGACGUGUCCAAUGGUGCUCUACUUUAUUUCCUCUUGUGCUGAAAAUUAAUGGUGUGUAAAAUGUCAAUUCAGACUUGGUCUUUGUCUGUUUGUAACACUAAAAACGUUUUAUCCAGAGUUUCUUAAACCAACCAGCUUCGUUUGCCUUAUAUGUGAAAAACAUCAAUCCCUCUCAAACUCUUCCUCUCGAACAUUCUCUUGUCUAUUCUUUUUUAUUCCUUGGCUUCAACUGUGGUUUCUCAAUUGCUUGAUCUUGGCUCGCCUUCAGGUACUGCUUUCAUGCCUUUAAGAAAUCUCUAAGGGGUUCUCUCAAAUUUCUAGAUUUAGUUCUUGGAUCAGGUUUAAUAAAACAAACAAAGAUUAUCCCUUUUCUGCUAUUAGUUUCAUCGGGAACGAAGAUAAUUUAGUUGGGCAAUUCUCGGUUUUGGGUAAGAUUCUUGUUGUCCUUUUGUUGAUUUUGGUUCAGAAUCAUAAUUUAGCUUAAAAGAGCUCUGCUUUAUUUGUUAGUAUCCAUGAUCUUCUUUAGUAACCAAUACUCAGCUAAUUUUGUUUUGACUAUGCAGUUACUUUGUUUCACUGAGAAAAAUGGCGACUGGAGUAUUGCCAGCUCCUGUUUCCGGGGUUCGAAACUCGGGUUCGGUAAAAGUAUGAAUCUUGUGAGAAUUUGUGAUUUGACGAGUCUAAGAUCUGCUAGAAGAAGAGUUUCCGUUAUCCGGAAUUCAAACCAAGGCUCCGAUUUAGCCGAGCUUCAACCUGCAUCAGAAGGAAGCCCUCUCUUAUGCAUAAGAGAUUCAUUCAAAAAAUUCAUCUUUUAAGAGUUUUUCUCGAGUAUCAUCAUAUAAAGUUUUAAUAAUGUAAAGGUGGAUCCGCGGAUGCAUCAAAUCUAGUAAUAUAGAAAUGUAAGAAAUUUUUAUAAAUUCUUAACAUAAAAAAUAGCUUAAGCCUAAAAAAUGAUAUUCCAAUAAAAAUGUAAAAGUUUAGAAGAAAGUAAAUGUAAUAAUACUAGGAUCGGACCCGCGGUCCACCGCGGGAGAAUAUUGGUUUACAUACGUUGCGUUUAAUAUUGUGUGUGUUUUUUAGUAGAACGAAUCGUGUAGUAUACUUAUAAGUAUUCAUAAUAACGAAUUGUAGAAAAAAUGUAAAAUUGUUUAUAAAUAUACCCAUCGUAUUAAUUAUGAUUUACAAAAUAGAAUUUUGUGUUUUAAAAUUCUAAAAUUAGACGAUUCAUGGGAAUUAGAGCAGUCAAAAUAGGUCAAAAACCGCUGGUCGAGCCUACAUCAUCUCACUAUGGGGCAGAUUUGGGAAAAUAUAUUAAACCCGCAAAUAAGCGGGCCACAUGGAUUAAUUCGCAGUGGGUCAUAGGUUUAAUCGGUUUUCAUCUGCGGGUUGGCGGAUCAGCCCGCAUAUUUGUAUUUAUCGAUAAAAUUAUAAUUUAUUCAACAUAUGGUAAUUUAAACAAACUUUUAAUAGUAUUUUUAUUUAUUUUUAUUUUAGUAGUAUUUUAAAUUUUGGUUACUUUAAAAUUAUUUAAACAAAAUCCAUGGACAAUCCCGCAAAUCCGUAUACAUUCGCGGGACGGGUUUGUAUUUCAUAUAUGCUACCCGCGGGUCGUGCGGACCGACUAACACAAGUCAAAAUAUUUUUUGUCUAUCGUAAAACGGACUUAACGGGACGAAUCAACUCGCUUUGACAGUUCUAAUGGGAAUAUUAUUUAGUCAUACAACAAAAUGAAGUUUGGACGUAGUAAUAAUAGAAUAUGUAACUUAUUUGUUAGAUGAGAGAUUGAAAGAUGAAGUAUAAUGAUUAAAAAUUAAUUAUUAUUUUUCAUGAUUCACAAAAUUUAAUAAAUACUUAUCAUCUUGUUGCAUAAUUAUAAAAUCAUAUUCAAAAAAUCUUUAUAAAUUGAAAAUUAAACUUCUUUGGUAAGCUAUAGGUAUGAAAAUAUCAUAAUUUCGAUUUAAUCUAAUUAAAUUAAAAUUAGUUACAUGGAUUUCAUAUAUAUUUAAUUUACACGACCAAAAUAAAAAUAUAUAUUUAAUUUAUACGACCAAAAUAAAAAUAUCAAUUUAAUUUAUAAAAGAGAUGGGUUAUUUGUGAUAAAUUUUCUAGAAAUCUGUAGAAGCAAAUAAAAUAUCUUUCAAUUAAUGAUAAUUGGCUAAAAUGAACGAAAUUAAUGACAAAAACGUUGAUUGUUAUGAAAUUAGUCCCAAAAAUAUAUGAACAAAUUUAUUAUUCGUAAUUAAUGUAUAAUAUUGUUCGGAAUAUGCUUUUAUUAUUAGUUACCAUAAGUACAAUAAGAUUUUAUUUGAUUUCCAUAAAUAUUUGAUUUUAUUUCGAUUUUUCAUUUUUAAUUCGAAUUUAUAUUACAAAAAAAUUUCAAAGAUCCGAUUUCAGAAUUUCGGGUCAAUUUUCUGAUUCUAACCCGACCCAUUUUCAUUUGUACUUCUCUUUUAAUAGUAUAGAGAUUUUUGUUUAUUUUCCAAUAAAAUUAAGGAAAUUAUUUGAAAAUGGCAAAAUUGUUUUGGACUUUUUUAGAUAUUUAACCGACAACCAGAUUUUAUUAGUUCAUUUUCCAAUUAAGUUAGAUUAAAUAUUUAUUUCAUAUUUCUCAAUAAUAUUAGAUAAAAAAUAGACAAAUUAAUAACCAUAGAGAGAGUAUCGCGCGUGGAUCUUACUCGCGGCGAUUUCUCUCUCAAGCUCAUCUUCUUCUUCUGAUCACAACCUCGUGCACCGACGGCGGGUUCUCCGUCAAUUCCGGUGACGAUGAGGACCCUUCGGCUCAUGGUUCUUCAUCCGUGACCUAUUACAUCUUCUCAGCAAAGCCAUCAGAUCAAAAUCAAGGGGGCAGUGGAGGGGAGAAGAAUCUGCACGACAUCAAUGGUAUGAGCUCUACCGGCGGUGUAGCGAUGUAGAGUGGAAGAGGGAGAUUUCACGGUGAGGAGCGAGAGAGGAAAGUGGUUAGAUCUGGAGACUGGAGAUUCUGGAAGUUUCUCGGGAUCGGUUUCGAUGGGGGAGGUAGUCUCCGAUCCGGCGGAGCCAAACCACCGUCGAAGGUCUCCUUGUCUACUCCCUACUGCUUUUCUUACUCAUGACUGACCAAGAAAUCUCUUCGAUAUAGAAAAACUCGGUUCUCUUCCUCCUUCUCAAAACAGUUCUACGGUGGCGGGUUGGCAACGGAUCUUGGAUCACCAUCUCCGUUCGGCUAGCGUCGCCCUGGCUCACCGGAGGUCCUGUUCCGGCGAGAAUCUGCAGUCUGUG